rnacentral:lncRNA from 1 species
UUUUGUAGCAUAUUCUAUUCAAGAAUUUAGGGUCUAAUAAUCCUGUAACAAGCUAAACUACUCUCUAAUGCGGCAGGAUGGAAUCGAUGCCAUCGAAGAUGUCAUCUACCACAUCGAAACAUAUGACGUCACCACAAUCAGGGCAAGCACUCCUAUGUUCUUGAUGUCAAGAAAGAUCAAGUCACUAGGUGUGAAGAUGGUUAUCUCUGGUGAAGGCUCUGAUGAGAUCUUUGGUGGAUACCUGUACUUCCACAAGGCACCAGAUAAGGAUGAAUUCCACCGGGAGACAUGCCGCAAGGUAAUAGAUCAUCUUAUUCAACACUUCACUUAUGAGUAGGGGAGUUGGAACAUAAGGAUAUAACGAAAACUGGUCUGUUUUGAUACCUUUUUGUGCAGAUCAAGGCCCUUCACCAAUAUGAUUGCCUGAGAGCUAACAAAGCAACAUCAGCAUGGGGAUUAGAGGCACGAGUCCCCUUCUUAGACAAAGAAUUUAUCAAUGUUGCCAUGUCUAUAGACCCUGAAGCGAAGAUGGUAUGUAAACAAGCAUCUUUUUUCUUAUUGUUCCUGGAAUUGCUUGGGUUUAUUCAUUCAUGGUUGAGAUUUACAGACUCAUGACAGAUAGUUCUUUGUUUAUGAAUCAGAUCAAAAAAGAUGAAGGACGCAUCGAGAAGUGGGUUCUAAGAAGGGCCUUCGAUGAUGAAGAGCAUCCCUAUCUGCCAAAGGUCGUCAAACAUCAUUUCUUGUCUUUCAUAUUUGUCAACUAUGAAGCUAAACUAACAUGUCCUAUAUGAUGCCCUGCAGCAUAUCCUCUACAGACAAAAAGAACAGUUCAGUGAUGGUGUUGGUUAUAGUUGGAUCGAUGGUCUCAAGGCCCAUGCUGCCCGACAUGUAAAAUAUCUUUCUUCAGUGGGUUCUGUUAUAUGCAUUUGCUUAGUUUAUUGUUCAUAAUUUAACAAUUAAAAUCUUUCAGGUGACCGAUAAGAUGAUGUUCAAUGCUUCUUUCAUAUUUCCUCACAACACACCAACUACAAAAGAAGCAUAUUACUACAGGAUGAUUUUUGAGAGGUUUUUCCCUCAGGUGAUUUUCUGAAUCUCACAGUUCGAAUACGUUUACGCUUCUAACUUUUUGUCAACACAUUAAUUGCUAAAGUGAUCAUCUUCCUUGGCUUGGUUUAACAGAACUCGGCAAGAUUGACUGUCCCUGGAGGAGCUAGUGUGGCAUGCAGCACAGCUAAAGCUGUUGAGUGGGACGCUGCCUGGAAAAACAACCUUGACCCUUCAGGCCGGGCUGCCUUGGGGGUUCAUCUCUCAGCUUAUGACGCAGAGACUCCCCUCAGCAACAAGCCAUCCAAGGUUAUUGAUAGUAUACCACGGAUGGACUUUCCUGGAGUUGCCAUACAGAGUUAAUGCCUGCCUACUGGAAGACAACAGAAUGUAUGAAUUAUUUAAUAAAAUGAGUAGGAGCUGUGGCAUGUCCAAAUGUAUGAAGUAUUUAAUAAAAUGAGUAGGAGAUGUGGCAUGUCCAUCAAACUUCCGAAUACAUUGUUGUAUAAUAUAGGUGAUAUUUACGAGUACUAAGAGAUUCUGUGAUCGUUGCAUCAUCUUUUGUUAUCAUCAACCUAUUGGUUCUUUGUGUUAAGUGUGUAAUCAAUAUUUUGUAGUGGAAGUUAAUCAUGAAUGAGAAUCUUCCCUUUUGUUGGUGUAAUUGCAAAAAUGCUUCAGUUCUUCCGCUUUACAAAAAUCUUGCCCUCUAACGACUGUAAUGUUAGAUAACUUGGAACUAAGCAAUAAUUUGAGAAGAAACAUGUUGUCCCUACUAGAUGAAUCGGGCAUUGAAUCGGUCUAAUUCUUGAAGAUAAUAUCAUAUUUGACUUGAAAGAACCAUAUGAUUAUAUCAUUUAUUAAGACACAAUAUUAGUAAAGUGCAGUUUUGCACCCUCUGCAAACCUAUCAAAAUUAGUAACUAAUUAUAGAAUGAAGUAAAAGCACAUACAACUUAAUAGAACAAGACAGUAUAAAAGAGUUGAUUCCAAGUAUCAGGCAAUCCAGGGAGGCACCAAUGGCUACAAUCAGCUGUGCGGUCUGGGUUAGCCCUCUGAGUAGGGCUUAAGUCACCACUGUAGAUUGAAGGGUGCCCAUCUUUCCUAAGCUCAGACAGCAUUGUUAUGUCCAACAAAUAUGUAGGGACGUGCAUUUCUCUAAUGACUUCGUCCACCACUCUCAUCUGGUCAGGGUAUGUGCCAGGAUACGUAGUUCCGGUCAUCGGUGCUGUUUCUCCGUAACAGUUUUUCGUUACGGUCGCAGUUGCUCCGGUACCCCAUUCACUCGGACUGUCAAAGGCAUUUCAUCAAGCUCAUUGUCAUAGAACUUUUAUAUCCAUGUUCGGAUAUAUAACAAAUUUAAAAUACUAAAAAAAAUCGAAAACUAUGGACACUCAUGCAUCAUGUGCUCGGAGGCAGUGGUCAAACAAAAAAUUGUAGUCAGGCAAUGUAUGGCCCUUCUGCAGACCUUUUUUAGUUACUUUAUAGUGAAAUUUGUAAGGAUAAAGAAAAGGUCAUUUCCCACCGACAACUAAAGGGGUUAAAAAAAGAUACUUUGGCUGCUCACUAUUUCACGAGGUUACACGGUUGUAAAGAAAAAACAGUAAAAAUCAACUAAGCACUUUUAAUUAAUAAAAAGUAAUUUGACUAUCUCAUGAAACAUGGGAAGACGAAGGUAGAACGUAUCGAGGGCAAACCUAAAAAACAUCAACCAUCUAUCAUGCGGGAAAAAUAAAUAAAAAAAAUUCUCCCAUUGAUGCCUGGUCGAGUGAAGAACAUGUCAUCAACUCAUUCUUGUGGUUUUUGUCGGUUUGGUUUUUAAUAUUAGCAAACAUGAAAGAAAUCCGUCAAGACUCUUUAACAGAGUCUUUCUUGCAAGAGAUAAUACCAGAAGCAUUGAGAAUUCAACAAAGAUACAGAGAAAGUGAUAAGAAAGUUUUUCAGACACGAUCUAGUUUAGUAACUCCAAGUUGUAUGGUCACAUUUAUUAUAUAAUUAUAGCAAUUUCAACAAGUUGCCAUUGGCUUAACCCAUCCUACCCUACCCUACCCUAUUUUAUUUUUUUGUUUCUCUACAGUCUCUGUCUUCAAUAUUAAAUAUUGAGUUGGGAUAAUCUUAGCAGACAAAAACUAAAUUCAUCUAAGCUCACAUUGGAUCGAAUUUCUAGUUCUUGGAGUCCAAUUAUUAGUUUUUCACUCCAACACAACAAUAAUUAUCAAUCAAAGAAUUGAGUCCACUCCAUAUUCUAAUUAAUUUCCAUGCAAUUAUUUAAGAGAGAAGGAGAGUGUUACUCGUAAUGCGUGGGGGAAAUAGACUGGAAAAAGACUCUGGUUCUAGUUCUGUCGACAUAGGUGUCCACCCAAUUUGACCAUGUUCUCAACCCUUUCUCCAUUGCAACCAAACGAUCCAUGUCCUUGUAAUAUUUUCCCCCUGACUCAAUUAAAUCCCACCUGUCCAGUUUCACCUCAAGCUAUUCAAUUAACCAAAGCACAUAGCCCAGUAACAGAGAAAAAUGGUUGUAGUUUUUUGUCUUUUUGGCCUACCCUUGGAGAGAUCCUUUAUGAGUCCACCAAUGGCCUGUGUUAAAUACCAGCACGUCUGCCAUUCUCCAGGCGUUCCCAUUUUCAUCUAUUCCCUCUAACUUGAGAAUUCUAGUCCCUUGUACCACGUCUAUGUCCACCAAAUAUGGAGCCCUGUAAAAUGAUAUGGAUAAACCAUAUUCCUGCAUUUUAUCAUUAAACAAUGAUUCAAUUAUUAAAGGUAUACUUAAAAUUCGAAAGAUUGUCAUUUGCCAACACAAAUCGAACCAAUUGGACCCUGGUAACUUUUUUGGCAACAUAAUGCUCACUUUGGGUCCUUCAGGCUCAAAAAAGGAUUUCAUCUCUUCACCAUACCCCUAAACAUUCAUUUUUUUGGGGUUAAAAUAUGGAACAGAGUGCUUGAAAUGGCUUUGACCAUGAAUUGUGAGAACAAAUGAUUGUAUUUUAAAGAGUUAAGGAAUAAAGAGCAAAAGCGGUUUUUUCAUAAGACUCACAAGGAACCUGAAGGUGGAGAGAGGGUCUCCUCUGAUCAUCUGAGUCUGCAUUUUGGGUGUUGAAGCUGAAAUCAUACAAAUCAGAGACUCCCAUUGAUUCCUUCCCAGAGAAUCACCAACAAACAUCACGUUUUUCCCUCUCAUUUUCGAUAGAUACACAAGUCCAUCGAACCUGACAAAUAUCAUCCCUCAAUGUAAAAGUAAAACAAAUUACAAUGCACUUUACAUAAAAAACAAAAGUACUCCAAAAUUACCUUGGAAGCACACAAUUGAGAGGCUGCCAUCGAUAUUUGAGGUAAUCAGAAUCAGGUCUUCCAUACAGUUGGCAGUUGAAUUCUGCAUCUAUGAUUGGACAGUUGGAAUAUUGGUACAAUGGGUAACUAUCAUCGCGAACCCAAGUGCCUACAAACAAUGCACAAGUGCUUUGGUUCGUUUGGAACAUUGGCCUUCGAUGUUGAGGGUGGCCAGGAUGGUUCUUCAAGCUCAUUAUCAAAGCAGAGAAACCAGUUUGAAACUGAAACAACAAGGCUACAAAAAGAAAGGGUAGACAUGACUUAAAGACAUGACAAGAAGGAGAUUGAUCGGAAGAAAGAAGGGUCAUUUUGCAGAGAAAUGAUAGUGAAGUUAAAAAGCUAGACGAAGAAAAGAGAGGGGCAAAAUUAAAAAAAAAAACAAUAGCAUAUAAAAAGAAAGUGGGGUUUAUCAGUUCCUGGUGAAGGUUCUUAUAAGAGAUGAUGAGAGGGAAGCUUGGUUUUGGUGUGUUGUGAAGGUAAGCUGAAAAGGGUUUCACUUCACGUGAGCUUAAAUGGUAGUGGUGGACGUCAAUUUAGACCCUUUUGAACCAAGUCUUAUUGGGGGAACAGGGACUCUUACUUGUCUGCAAGUGUAUCUCCUUCCAUUUUCAUUAGCAAAUUCACAGAAAAGGAAAUGGUGCUACUGCAACUGCAUGAAGGAAAGUCAGAAAAGGGGAAUAAUGUCGGGGAAUGGGCCCAAAACUGGCAAUGACCAAAUCAUGCAUCUAAAUUCAACGAGAAACCAAACAAAUACUCUCGAAUAUGGGCUUUGGUUGGCGCCACAAUCUUGGAUUCUGUUGCUUGUUUAUAGAAUAGAAAGAGAGAAUACUUGCUACCAAAACCAUGAACAGAAGCAAAGUUUUUUUUUUCUUUUCUACUUUAUAUCAAAGAAGGGGCAAAUCCUUUGAAAAAGCUAAAUGUUCUUUGCUUUCCUUCAUCCCCAUGCAUAGAACAUCAUUCAUUAAUUCAAACCCUUUUUUUUCUUCUUUUGUCAUAAUUUAAAAUAAAGAUAUAGUAAUCUAUUUUCCUUCCAACUUUACAAAAAAAUUAUUUUAAUUUUUUAUUUAAUUUUCUCCUCCUUUUAGUCUUUAAUUUGUACGAAUUGUCAAAUAACCUUAACAUGGAUAAAAAAUUUAAUAUUUAGGAACUGUUUUGAUGUGACAUACAAGUGGAAUAACACAUGAAUUUCAUGUCAGACAAUUAAUUAAAUUUUUUGAAAAUUUAAAAAAUUAAAAAAUAUAUAAAUUUAAUUUUUAAAAAAAUUAAAAAGUAUAAAAUUAUAAAAAUAUUGAACCACCGCCGUCUCCUCAAUUUCAAACCUUUCUUCCAUCUUAAUUCCUAUAUAAAUAAUAUAGGAAUAUGUAAAAAUAUGCCAUGACUUGGAUCUUAACUGAAGAUUAAUUUGGUUUAUUUUUUUAAUUAAAUAUUUAAAAUUUAAAGGUUAUACUAUUUGUAUAUUUAGAAUUAGAGGUGUUCAUGGGCCGGUUUAUCCGGCCCGGCUCGAAGAUUCGCCUGAAAUGUGAGAGGGUUUGGGUAAAAAUAUAGGCCCAAAAAAUGAGUUUGGACAAAAAAAUAAGACCCGUUUAAAAAAUGGGUCGGGCCUCGGGUAAGGUAUUUUUAGCCUGGGUCCUGUCCGGCCAUGGCUCGGCCCGGUCCGGUCUUAAUUCACUAAAGGACAAAAAAAUAUACAUUUUUUUUAUUUUUGAAUGUUAUUUUCUUGUUGUUUUCUCUCUAUUUUGCUACUAUUUUACUAUUAUGUUGCUACUAUUUUGUUAUUAUUAUUUGGAUAUUGUAUAAAACUUAUUUUAUUGUUAAUUUUGUUAUUAUUUUAAAGGCAUUUGUUAAUUUUUUUAAUUAUUUUAGAGGCAUUUGCUUAUUAAGUUGCAUCUAUCUUAGUGUUAUUUAAGUCUAUAUAUUUUUUAAAUUUUAUUUUUAAUUUGUUGGAAAAUAUUUAUUUUGAUGUUUUUAGUAUUUUUGAUGUAUUAUAUAUAUUUAAAAAUAAUAUAAAAAAUUAAUACGGGCAGGCCGGCCCGGGUUUUAGUAUUUUUAUUUGGGUCGGGCUUGGGCAUGAUUUCUUAGUUGAGGCCGACCCGGCCUAUGAACACCUCUAUUUAGAAUUUAGUCUUCAUGUUUUUAUCUUUAAGAAUUUAGCCUCUCUAUUUUUUUGAAUUUAAAAAUCUAGAUCCAAAUUAGUAUCAUUAAAAUUCUUCUGUUUAAUUUGUUAGUAUGACAUUCUAUUUUUUUUUUUAAAAAAAGAAGCACUCACUCGAUAAUUAUGUUGUAGAAAAUGACAUUGUAAUGUAUUUUAAUUUAACAAAAAAUUUAACAAUGUUAACAAUUCUUUAAAUUUACAUAUGCACUUUAAUUAGAAUAAAAUAUUGGGUAACUUUCACCAACAGUCACUCAACUUUGAGGUAGCUGACAAAACAAUCACCUCGGUUUCAUUUCAGUCACUCAACUUUAGAAAAAUGACAAAACAGUCACUAACGUUAUUAAAAAAUGACAAAUCAGUCACUUAUUAUCAUUUUCUGUUAUUGGCUUAAAGGGACCACUGAUAUGGGAAGUUAACUAGCUGACGUGGCCAGUUAGCUUGCCACGUUGGACAAGUAGUCAAAGGGUAAAAAAAAAAUUAUUGGUUAAAGGUAAAAAGAAGGAUAAAAGGAAUGGAGGGAAAAAAGAAGAGAAGAAGGGAAAAUGGAAGUUGUUCAAUCUCUUACUCAAUCUCUGAAAGCUAAAUGGAGGGCUAGAGUGGUGGAAACAGGAAGGGAAAAAAACCUUAUCUUUCCCAUUUUGCAAAUCAAUGGCAAAAAACCCUAAAAUCAACCCUCCCAAUUAAGCUACCUCCUCCAAAAAGAAAAGGUUCCAACAUUAAAAAAAAAAACACAGAACUAGAUCCUGCAAACAAGAAAUGUAAAACGGGAGCACACAGAUUAUAACAAAAAACCCAGGCCAAACAAAAGCACGAAAAUCCAAACUCUUAACAAUGCACAAACACAAAAACCAGUCACAUUCAAGAUUAAAAUAAAGCCUUUUUUUUUGGUGUUAUACUUUUUCGUAUUUUAAUUCGAAACCCAAAACAAAGAGAAAAAAAUCUCUAUUUUAUUGAAAUUUUUACAAAAAAUAGGUGAGGAGAAGAGACUUCCAUGACUUAGUGUUUCAUUAGGUUUUAAAUCUCUCGCACCGAGAAGACUAAGACUUCUCCAACCGGUUAAAACUUUUAUUAACAUUUUUUGGGAUUUUUUUUCACAAAGGGAAAGAGAGUUUUACUUGGUUUGAAUUUGCUGUGAAUGAAAGUUUUAGUUAUGGUGUGAGAAAACAUAGGAGAGGACUGGGAAAGUAAAGGGAUCUGGAAAAUUUUUUAUAAAGAUUAGCAAAUGAGAGAGGAGGUGGAGAGUGUUUACAAAAUUUUAAUGUUGGAAAUAAAUUUAAAGAGAUUGAGAGAAAAAAAUAAAAGGUUUACAUUGGUAUUGAUAGGGUUGUUUAUCCUCUUCUUCUUCUACUACAUAAACUAGCCAGUUGGAUGGUUAAUGACACCAAGCAAGUUGUCAUCUGUCAUGUCACUUUACCGUUACGUUUGUAGCGAAAAAUGACAAAAAUGACUGUUUUGUCAUUUUUCUAAAGUUGAGUGACUGAAGUGAAAUCAAUGUGACUGUUUUGUCAAUUACUCUAAAGUUGAAUGAUUGUUGGUGUAAUUUACCCUAAAAUAUUUAGACUAACUAAUAACAUUAUAAAUAAUGAAGUAUUAAAUUAUGUCAAAAAAUAAAGUAGAAAGAUUAAAUCUCAAAUUUGGAUAAAAUAUAUAAGCUGAAAUUAAAAAAAUAGAGAGAAUAGAAUUAAGAUUUAACCAUUAAAAUUAAAAAUGUAAAAAUAAAAGAGUAGCAAGGACAAGUGUCAAAGAACGAAGGCGUUAGCGCCUUCUUUUAGUAUAUAUUAGUUAAUUGAUUUCAAUUAAUUAAUUAUAAUUUAUUUAUUUAUAUUAUACCAUGAAAUUACAAUCAAAUUCAGAAAAAAAAAUUGACAAUAUUAAGUUAGAGACUUUUGAAGUGGAGUGGGGUGUGAUAGGACGGGAUGAAAGUUGUAGUUGUUUUUAAGAAGAUACACCCAUAAUGGAACAGGACGGAUGAUAAAGCAAAACGUAUUAUUUAUAGAGAGGUAGGGAAUUGUGCAAUUCGUCCCGGCCUCGCUUCAUUGUCAUCCCUAACUAUAAUAAGAUUAAAAGGAUUUAACAAAUAUUAUUUAACUAGUCUUGAUGGCGAAAUCUUUUGUAUCGUUGAUUUUCAUUUUGACCAAUCAAAUCAGUUGGCUCUUUGGAGGAAAAAUUAAUUGGUAUGGUUUAAUUAAAUAAAAUUAAAAAUUCAAAAAAAAAUCUGAUUCAAAGAGUCUAUAUGUCAACAAUUCAACUUUUUUUUCAGAUUAUUAGAUUAGUAUAUCUGUUGAUGUCUAAUUUAACUAAUUCGAUCAAUCAAUCAAAUCUGAUUCUAAUAAUAUAAGGAUUGGCAAAUAAUUAAAAAAAUUAAAGGUAUAUAAAAAUAUAAAAGAAAAAAAGUAUUUUAUCACUCAUCUUUUUAAAUUUUAUAUACCCAGAUUAAGAAAAUAAUAUAUACCACUCAAGGAAAAUAAUAUAUAUGACGAUGGUGAUAUUUAGGAGCAAAUUCAAAAAAAAUUUUAACAAUGACGAAAUUUAAUUAUAAUUUUUUUAUAAAAUAAAAUAUAAGUUUUUUAUAUAUUAAUUUAUAAUUUUAUUAUUUUUGAAGGAAUUAAAUAUAUUUUAUUUUUAAUUUUAAGAGAUUAAAUUAUAAUUUUACUAUAUAUUAAUCUAUAAUAUAUUAAUUUAUAAAUUUUUUUUAUUUAUAAGAAGAUUGAAUUAAAAAUUUUUCAUCACUAUAUAUUAAUUUAUAAAUUCUUUUAUUUAUAAAAAGACUAAAUUGAUUUUUUGGGAGAGCUAUGGCCCUGACUUCUCAGAUUUGUCUCUGUUGAUAUUAAAAAAAUCUUAUUAUGUGUGAUUUUAUCUAUAGUUACUUUGGAUUUAUAUUUUGUAAUAAUGUUUAUAAUUAUAAGGAUGAAUUAUCGAAUUAACCACUCAACUUUCAGUACGCUUUUAUUUUAGUAACUUAAAAUUAAAAUCUUUACAAUUUAAUCACUGCCAUUAAAGAUGCUUUCAUUUUAGUCUUUAAAUCCUCUAACAUCAGUCCACUGUUCAUCUUCUUCUUCCUUAACCUUUUUUUUUUUUCUCCACGCCACCCUCUCACACCUCUUAUCAAAAAUUAAAUCUUUGAUUUAAUGACAAAUUUAGCCACUAAUGUUUGCAUGUUUUGUCAAAAUGGUCUUAAUUGUAUUUUUGAGCUUUUUUUUGGCAAUUAACUUUUAUUCUUUUCUUCAAAUUGCCUUUUGUAACAGAUUUAAUGAAAGUGCCGUUAAAAAAGUUAACGGGGAUGGUGUAGAAUUUCAUAUAUAGAAUAAUUUUUAAUGAGAUACAAUUUAUUACUUAAAUAACCCUAUAAGAUAAUUAAAUGUGAAAAAUAAUAAAAUAAAUAAUACAUGGAAUUAAAAAAACUCUUAAUUUAAAGAAAAUAAAUAUAAUUAUAUAAAAAAAUUAACUCACUAGAAAAACCUCUUGUAUGAAAGAUAGAAAUUUUUUGAAAAUAAAAAAGAUAUUAAAACCUUGAAUUUAUUUAUUAAUUUUGUUAGAAAAAUCAGUUUGAAAAAAAAAAUUGAUGGCCAAAAAAUGUUCAAAAAUAUAAAUAGGACCAUUUUGACAAAACAUGCAAACGAUAGUAGUCAAAUUUAUUAUUAAGCCUAAAUCUUUAGAUGAAACAAUUUCGUUAACUCAUUGCUACCUAAAAAAGCAAACUCAAACUUCCUUAACCUAAAAAAUUUUCUCAUUCUCUGCCUCCUACCUGUUUGACAUUGUCAAAGUCAAUCUUCUAAAAGAACUACUCAAAUUUUGUUUGAAGCAUCACCUAUCACUUGUGUCUUAUACCUUGACACCAUUUGUAAACCAAAAGAUGGUGGCUCAGAACCUAAGAGCUUAAUCCAAUUAGGAAAUAGAUGGCACUUGUCUCCCUCAUAAGGUAAGCAUUAGUAUUAAUCUUUUCGAGGGUUCAAUUUCAUACACUGGAAUCAAAUAGUUUAUACAAAUCCAUAAGCUCUUUCCCAAAACCAUUUAAGUUCUAAAUAUAAAGAAGUCCAAAAGCAAAAUAAAAAUUUAUAUGGUCACCAACUUCUUUCAAGACACUUUAGGUAAGCAGAUGGCGCUUGAUCCUUGACAAGGCCUCAUGAGGGUUAUCAUAAGUUGGUUACACUGUAAGACUCCUUCAACCUCUCCGAUGUGAGAAUAAGUAGCUUCCUGUCAUCUUGUAAGACAAAAAAGGAAAUGGAACAGGAGAAAAUUUUCUUGAUUCCAACCAAUGCUCAGUUGUGGUAUAAAUGGCAACCGCGGUUCUUCUGGAGUAACAUAUAGCCCAUCUUUCAAAUAGUUGUGUUGUCGUUCCUACUCAGCUUUUAGCUACAGGCGUGUCAAUCUGCCUAGGUUACUCUGAGCAAGGCGUGGGAAGAAAAUGAACAGUUGUGAGGGUAAAAAAUAUAGUCAAAAUGAUGACAUAGCAUGCACAGUUUUGAGUGAUUACAAUGAAAACAAUCUUUAAUGGCAGUGAUUAAAUUACAAUUUUUUUUAUUUAAGUCCUAAAAGUUGGAUAACCAACUAAAGAAUUUACCUUUUAUUGGUUGGUAGACAGGCAUCUCAUACGUUUGGUUGCUAAAAGUUGGAUAACCAACUAAAGAAUUUACGUUUUGGUUGCCUACGUUUGGUUGCUAGGGAUGUUCAAACGGUUAACUAAAUUAAAUUAAUAUUAAUCGAAUUACUCAAACUUUUUAAUCUUAUAACCGUUAACCGAAUCGAAAUAUUUUCAAAAAAUUUAACCAAACCAAAAUAUUUUCAUUAAUUUGGUCGGUUAACAGAAUUAACCGAAAUUUAUAUUUUUUAUUAAAAUAAGUAUAAAACAUAUAAAAAUUAAUAAAUUGAUAGUGUUCAUUUGACCGAAUUAACCAAAUUAAAACUACAUUAUUAAUUAUUAAGUUCAGUUAAUUAGGUUAAUUACUCGAUUUCAAACCUAAUUAAUCGAUAAUCGAACUUCCAAAAAAAUUAUUAACCUAUCUCUGACCAAAUUAAAUCGAUUUGAUCAAUUAAUUCCAUUUUAUCGAAAUUUAAACACCACUAAUGAUCGCACGCAAAGCAGAUAAAAUUUGCGAUCAGUUAAUCACAAUUGAAACCGAUAAUAACCAAAACAAACAAAUAAAUUAUUUAAACUUCAACAAAUAUUUUAAAAUCUUACUUUUAUCAUUGUACCCCUCCCCCCGCGUUAUUAAUUUUUUCACUCAAUUUUAAAAAUUAUCAUUUUAGACGUUAAUAUAUAAAUUUGUUCCCGUUUUGGUUAUCUAUAAUUAAAUUAUAAUAAAAAGUCUUUUUUCUAAUUGAUAUAAUAAUAUAUUUAGUCCUCAAUAUUUAUUUAUUAUAUCAAUUUGAUCUUAAUUCUAAAUAAUUAAAUAAAUUUAACCCCUCACAUUUACAAAUUCUAUCAAUGUGAUCCUUCAACUUCCUAACCAAAACUUUCAGCUUUUAAAACAGAGCCAUUCUGUAUCCAUUAAUUAUUUUAUUUAUGAUUGAAAUUAUCUAAUUUGAUACAUAAUCCUUUUUGUUUAUAUUUUUAAGAAAUUAACUAAACACCAUUAAAAAUAAUAUAAUAUAUAAUAAAAUUAUAUAAAUAAUUUAAUAUUUUUUAAAAAUAAUUUUUCACCUUGACUAGCAUAAUUUCAGUUUUUAAUUAAUUUGGUAAAUAGUUUAUACUAAACCAGAUUAUUAAUGAUACAUAAUGCUUAUUAUGAAUUUAAAAAUUUAAAAAUAAUUAAAAAUAAAUAGAAUACAUAAUAAUCUCUAAUGAGUUCAUAAAAAUUUUAAAAGAUCAUUAUCAAUGUUACAAAAAGAAAUUCAAUCAAUUCUUUCACAUUUGUUUUCUUACGAAAAAUUAGAUGUUAUAUAAUUAUUGAUUGAACAAUUGAAUUUUUCAAAACAAUAUUUUUUAACUUUGGAUUUAAUUUCCAACUUCAAGGAUUAACUUGAAGGAUUAUUUCUACAUACCUUGAAGGAAAUAUCAUAUUGCUAACAACAACAAUAAAUCUAAAGCAUUUUUUUAAAGGUUUUUUCAUUUUCUUUAGUCAAAAUUUUAUCAAUCAAAGGGUUAAAAAACACUACAUUUAAAAAAUUAUGAAAUAAAAAAAUAAAAUUUCAAGAUAAACUUAUUAAUAUCCAGAAUUAGCUCAGAAAAAUUGAAAGAUAUAUAUAUAUACCUUAGAAUAUACUUUUGUUAAAUAAAUAAGAAUUUAUUAUUUCGUCACCUUGCAUGCGAAACUUUUACAUUGUAAUAAUGUCAGAAACAAUAAUCUUUUUUUUUUAUUCAUUAGGAUUAGUGAUUGAUUUGUUCAAACAUUGUAAUUAGUUCAGUAUGAUAUAAACUUGAAAACCCAAUUGGAAAAAGAAAUAAUUGUUACUGUUUCUUUCUCUUAGUUUUUUUUUUUUUAAAUAUAGAUAAUUCCUUUUUAAUCUUCUUACAUGAUAUUGAAAAAAAUGAUAUGCUGAAUCCAUCUCUAUUAUACCAGCUAAGAGUUAUUGGAUCAAAGUUCAAAUAAUAUCUAGAGCCCAAGAUUAAGUUGACUUUUACAAAGGACAUUUAGUAGUAUAUAAGAUAAACCCUUGUAGUUUUCGGUGUCUAGCAUAAUCACAGACAAUCACUUGCAAUACGUAGAUUGGCACCUCACGUAGAUCAUAUUGUUUCCCUUACAAUGUACCCUGUGUAGAGGAGAGGACCAUGAUGGAACUCAUGCUUUGCGUCCAAGAUAAAUCAACUUUAUUGAGGUCCUAAGUAAGAUCAUCCCUUUUCCAGUCUUUCCUUCUUUUACCAUUACUCGCCUCAUCCUCCACCAUUAGAGUUGCACUAAACCAUUUUCUUUAGAAUCAUCACUAACUCAAGCUUCAAAAAGUGUUUUGAAAUCCACACUCUAGCACCUUUUAACUUACCAUCUUCUUACAAUAUUCCUCCCUCAAUUAUGUCCACCAAGAUCUAGCUAGCUUAAUUCACCUAGAAGCUUAUCAUUCAUCAAUAAAGACAAACAUUUGUCUUCUAUAGGAACCUCAAGUAAAAUGCCAUGAAUCCUAUCGUAGAAGCAACCUCCACCUAUAUCUCCGCCUUAGUUUCUACCACUUUAAUCGUGCCAACCAUAAAUGCCUUUGGCACAACCCAAAACUCCUCUAUAAUUAAGAAUAACAUGCCCCCUAUAUCCAGCUAAGGCUUGAACAUUCCUAGUGUGAAGAAACCAGUUGUGAACAUUUUAAGUAUUCUCUCUACUGUGAACUUGGGCUUGCUCACUUUAACAACCUUGUCCUCUACAUUUGUUGGAGCCUUCACCAUGCCCUUACUUUAGGCUUCUCCACUGGUCCACAGGCUUCUUUGUUUUUUCAAACCUAAACACCUCUCAACAGUUUGGUUCUUCUGAUAAGAGUAAAUGGUGUAUAUAAGUUUAGUUCAAAAAUAAGUAUUUCCUUGGCCCCCAAACAAUGUUCACUAUUCAUUCAAUGACUGCAAUGUACAAUAUUGUUGUCAAAUAAUAAUUAUAACAAAAUAAAUCCGUUAGAAAGUAUUUCGAGGAUCGAACUCAUAAGAAAAUGUUACGGACAACUUUAACUAAUUACUUGACUCACUAAUUAACUAAACUACUAAUAUAAAUAAGAAGAUAAUUAAACAAUGCAAAUAUCAAUAAUAUGUAAAAAAAUGAAAGCGCCAUAGGUGAAACAAUAAGAUAUCUUUUAUCUCUUUGGGUUAAAUCCGUUCACCCAAUAUGAUCUUAUUUAUCUCAUGGUAACAAUUACAUAUUCCUUCAUAAAAAGUCAAUUACUAACACACAGUAAUUAAAUCAUUCAUCCUAGAUAAAUAACUUAUAGCCAUGUUACUUUUCCAUCAACCAUGUAAUGCUUGUGAAAGGAUACCAUUUACCUUUUAUUGAGCAAUAAAUUUCACUAUUGUAAAUGAAGCUAUACCAUGCAGAAUUCAUAUACUCAACAUAUCGGUUUUCAGAUCUAUUGCCAAUUGAACUCAGGUUUUUAAUACAUCAAAGUAUAUGAGUCAUGCAGACAUAGUUAGUCGUUUACUCAGGAUUGAGGUAAGUCACACUAUGAACGUCACAUGUGAAUAAAUCCAUAAACAAAUCUUCGAUAAAUUCAACUUGGGUCUUUUCCGAUGUAUUGUCAGUCUAAACAAUCACACAUAUAUCUCUAUCUUCUAGGAGUCAUCCGCUCCAAUACCAAAGACAAGGUGUCUUCCCAAUUGAAGUAGAUAGACAAUAUAAUAGUCUUUGAAUCGAUUUGCUCAUUUUGGAUUCUUUCAACUAUAAACUAUUUGGAUUACCUACCAAUAUAAGUUGUUUUCUUGCAUCAUGAUUCGACCAUAUGACGCAACUAAAUAUUAGUUAAAUAUUAAGUAAUUGGUGAGUGAUCUGCAUAGUUUGAUAUGAGAAAUUAGACUUUCUCGGUAUACUUAAGGAGUUUAUUCUCAAGCAAAUAAACAUCAUUUUAGUAGUUUUUCGUAAUUUUUAGAUUUUAAGUUUGCCGAAACCAUUUUUUUGAAUAUGUCGACUUUUAUUUUAAAAAACGGAAAUGGAGUCGUCACCAAUCUUUUUUAUGAGGUGUGAUCGGAUCACCUUGUAAAUUUGAUCUUUUCAAUAAAAUAUUUUGAUUUAUUAAAACAAUGAUUUUGGUCUACGAAAUUCGAGAAAACAGACUCGAGAGUCGAUUACGUGGGAGAAAGGAUUAGCACCCUCAUCACGCCCAAAAUUGGUACCUAAUUGUUAAUUAAUGUCCUAAUGUCGAAAGUUGAAAUUUUAAAAAAUUUUAAAAUACGAUCCCUUUUUUUAUUAAUGUUCAUUUUAAAAAUGUUUGAAUUAAAUUAAAGCGAGCAUCAAAUGCCCACUCAUCCCGAGAUAACAAAAUGCCACAUCCCGUAAGUUAGGAUGCGACAUUUGAAUCCUCAAGAACAAGUUUACCUUUAAUUUUUAUCGAAACUUCAUGUACUUUGAAAUCUAAAAGGAUAUUUGGCUAUUUAGGUUUAACAAGAAAAUAGAAACCCCGUAAGUUAGGAUACGAUUUCUUGAAUUCCCAAAACGUAAAUAUUGCCUUAUUUUGAAAAGUUUCCUUUUUGAAUAAUAAUGAGUACAACACUUAACGAUGUGCGUUUAUUUUGUUUGGAGUAAAAUAAAACGAUCUAUAUUGGAUAAACAUAUUGGAUUUUAAUACACGAUGUGAUUUAAACGAAAUAAAAUAAAAAGUCAAUAUGGAGUAUGAAAUAAUAAUACAUGAAUUAAAUGCUAUGUUAAUGAAUGUCAACAAUAUGAAAAUAUUAAUAAAUAAUUUCUAGAGCAUAUAAUGGCAAUAUUCACAUAAUAAACCAUUUUAAUACCAAUAUUAACAAACAAAGAAAACAAAACAAAAUAAUAUAUAAAACAAUUUAAAGUAAAUAAUAUUUUAAAAUAAAUAAUUUAAUAAACAAUUUGAAAUAAAUAAUAGGACAGUUUCAAAUAAAUAAAAUAUAAAAUAAAAAACAUAUGUAAAAGUUUGAAAUAAAUAAUAUAUGAAAAAAAGGUUUAAAAUAAAUAAUAUAUAAAAAGAAAUUAAAAUAGAUAAUAUAUAAAAUAAUUUAAAAAUAAUAUAUAACAAAACAGUUUCAAAUAUACAAUAUAAUUUUUUUUAAAAUAAGUAACAUAUAAAACAGUUUAAACUAAAUAAUAUAUAAAAUAGAUAAAAGUUUGAAAUAAAUAAUAUAUAAAAAAGUUUAAAAUAUAUAAUAUAUAAAAAAACUAAAAAUAGAUAAUAUAUAAAAUAAUUCAAAAAAUAAAAUAUAAUAAAACAGUUUAAAGUAAAAAGUCAAAGAUUGAAUAUAAAUUGGAGUAAAAAUAUGGGGUGUAAAUCGUAAAUGAUAAAAAGGGAUGCCAAGGACCAAAAUAAAAUGCGCUUAAAGAAUGAGGAACUGAUUGGGAAAAUAUUCCCAGCCCUUAUGCGCAACGUUUCAGCGUGGGCCAAAGAGUACUAAAAAAUAAAUUAUUCGGACAAAUCUCAAACAUAUCAAACUAUUAUGGGAUCAAAUUGAAACGUACAAGAAAAAUAGAAGGAUUAAAAUAGCAAAUAACCCAUUUGGACUUAAAAACACGCGGAUCCCCCACUAAAUGGGUCGGGUUGCGAGUUAGCCCCCCAAAACGAUGCCGUUUUGGCGUUUGGGGGGCCAGAUUAAACUACGUCAUUUUAUGGGUGCUAUUUAAGCCCAAAUUUUUUUAAAAAUUUCAUUUUUAGCCUUCCACUUUUUAAAAAAACUAAAAAAAAAACCUCUAACCCUCUCACUUUCUCCCUUUCUCUGGCGAUUAGGCCACCAUCCAUCUGGCAUGGCCGUUGGCGACGGUGACCGCUGUGUAUGGCGACCUGAGUAGAAAAGAAUAGGUUUUUCUUAGAUUUUUUCACCUUAAGUCCUGAUUUAAUGUCAAAACACCCAAAAACCAACGAUAUUUACAAGAAAAUGAAAAUAAAAUGAAAAAAAGGAGGGACCUUUCGGUUCCCUCGUGCCACCGGUGGGGGUUUUCAGCGAGCCUAUUAACUCGGCCACCUUCCAUACCGGAGCAAUCUCUGACGACGGCGAUAGGUAACUAGCGUUUUUUUUUCUUUUUCUUUUAUAUGUAAAAAUACACAAAGAAAGAAAAAAAUAAGACGAGAACUUAAAACUAAAACAAAGUAAAGAAGAAGAUCACCUUUUAGACAAUUUAAUCUUAUGCUCGUAAAAAAAAAAGUUACAAGGAGAAGGUUGUGGCCUUUAAAGCCAGGUUACUAGACUUUUCUUUUCUAUUUUUUGUCUGUUUCUUCUUGUUUGCUAUUGCUAUUUGUUUGUCCUCUUUUGCUUGCGUGUUUUUCUUGCUUUGCAGGUGACAGAGGCGUCAGAAGGGCGUGGAGGCGGCAGUAGCAGACAAUGGUGGCAGAGGCGUACUGCGGCUGAAGUUUGGGGGGCUAAGGUUAGGGUUUCAAAAAUGUUUAAACAUUCUGGGCCACUUGGGCCUUCAAAUUUUGGGUUGUUAUUUUAAUUAUUUUUGGGCUUUCGGUUUGGGCUUUUGGCUUGUAAAUAGACUAUUCAUUUUUUGGACUUUUAUUUUUUGGGUUUUAUUUUAUAAACUGGGCCAGGCCAAAAUUAGCCUAUUAACUAUCCCUCUUUGCUCGUUGACGUGUAACGUGAAUGGAGGAAAGACUUCAGCAAGGGCUAAUUUUUCCUGGUCUUGCCGAAUCUCGACUUUUGGUGCUUCAUUUCUUCAAGUAGCCUGAUUCCAUCCCGUCGCAUCUUCAGGGGUAUAGGAAUUAGUGCUUCAAUCCACUCCACUAAAACUUCAGAAAGAUUAGACUUGUAGCUUCAAUCUUCUUUACUGCAACUUCAGGAAGAUAAGAUUUGUGGUUUGUAGCUUUAAUUUACUCUACUGCAACUUCAGAGAGAUAAUAUUUUUUAUCUUCAAUCUACUCAUCUGCAACUUUAGGGAGAUAAGACUAGUGGUUUCUAUCUACUCCACUGCAACUUCAGGGAGAUAAGAUUCGUCAUAAUAGAUUUGAUCUGACCUACUGCAACUUUAGAGGUAUAAGAUUUGUGACUUAUAGCCGUAAUCUAUUCCACUGCAACUUCAGGGAAAAAAGAUUUGCUAUCUUCAACCUGCUCCACUGCAACUUCAAGGAGAUAAGGUUUGUGUAUUUUUAUCCUACUCCACUGCAACUUCAGGGAGAUAAGGAUUGUGGCUUCGAUUUGCUCCAAUGUAAUUUCAGGGAGAAGAGGUUUGUAGCUUCGAUCUACUCCGCUGGAACCUCAAGGAGAUAAGAAUUGGUAAUUUCAACCUGCUCCACUGCAACUUCAAGGAGAUGAGAUUUGUAAUUUGCAGCCUUAAUUUGUUCCACUGCAACUUCAGGGAAAUAAGAUUCGCUAUCUUCAGUCUGCUCCACUGCAACUUUAGGGAGAUAAGACUUGCUUUUUUCAAUCUGUUUCACUGCAAGUUCAAGAAGAUAAGAUUCGUCAUAAUAACUUUAAUCUGUCCCACUGCAUCUUCAGAGGUAUAGGAUUUUUAGUUUCAAUGAUUUGUUACAUCAUUCUCUGGGUAACAUGACCUUUAGAAUCCAUUUCAUUAGCCUAUUUUUAUGCCGAGUGAUUAGGAUGUUAUGAUCAGAAUGAAUCAAAUGCUAUUAACUAAAUAUGUAUGAAUGAUAUUUGCAUGAAUGCAGAAUGUCAUUUUUUUUAGAAUAAUCUCCUUUAAUGCUUGGGUUGACAUUGCUCGUUGUUCAUCGAGGUUUUAUCACUAGUGUAUUAUGCACCCUUCUUGCUCAGAUGGUAUCUCUAAUAGAAAACCCGAAGAAAUAAUCACAUAUUGGGCUAUUCUUUCCCAAAUGUUUCCAACUCUUGAAUUUGGUUAGUUCUGACUAGUGGUCCCAUUUCAGGUCCUUUUACUAUUUAGAAGCAUUUUAGAGUAAUAUGCAUAACUCAUUUUGCUUGAAUAUUAUUAGUCCAUCAAUCAUUAUUUCAAUAAAAAUGCUUGAAAAAGAUUAUCACAAUGGACAAGAUUUUAUUGAGAGCUGUAAUGGCCUAAAUUCAAAAUUAUCGGAACAGUGGUUUCGUAACCACAAAUCCAAUUUAAAGAGAAAUUUAUUUCAAUAUUUUUACAUGAAAAUUGAUAUGAUUGGAAAAUCGUAUGAAAAUAUUGAUAGAAAAAUUUUACCGAUUUAGUGAUUAGAUAGAAAAAGAAAUUAUUGAAGAAAUUGGGUAAAAACAAGGUAUCGAGACCUCUAUCUCGUAAAACUGAGUAAAAAUAAUUUUAUAAAUAUUUAUGAAAUGUUAUUAAUGCAGUAUUAAGAUUUCGUUAGGAAAUUUUAAUGUUUGGGUAGUCUAUUAAAUGAAAAUGACUAAAUUGUAAUAGGUGUAAAAGUUACUAGAAUAAUUAAAUAGCUUAAAAGUCUAAUGAGAAAGGAUUUAAAAGGAAAUUAGACCCAAAAUUUAUUUGGGCUGGACGGCAAGGGUAUGAAAUCAGCAGAAAAAUUGAUAAAUUAAGGGUAAAAUUGGAAUAUUACAAAAUUAACUAAAUAAAACUAGGACUAAAUAGGAAAUAUCUAGAUUUCUCUUCAUUUCUCUUCAAUUCCAGCAGCUAAAAACGCCAUAGGAGGGUUCUCUAAGCUGGUAUUUCAUAAUUUUUUCACCAAGUGAGUUAAUCCUUGCCUUUUUCUUGUAAUUUUUGUGUUUCUAAGACUUUUACAACUAGGUCCUACUAUUAAAUUCAUUAGUUUUUGAUUUCAUGGAUGAAAUUGAAAGUCACCAUGAUUGAGUGCUGUAAGUUUAUCAUGAAAUAGAAUGAAAUUAAAGCUUUAAUUUGUUUAUGAGAUGAUUUUAUUAGGUAAUUUCAAUAGAAAUUGAUUUUUAGGACCUAAUUGUGAAAAUGCUUGGAAUUAAAGUCUAUUGCUGAAAUUAUGAUUCCUAAAGGUUGUAAACUAGUUUAAGGUGAUAGAAUAAAAUGUUGAUUGAGAAAAAUCAGAUCAAUUGAGAGGCUAAUUGAGUAGGGAUGAAAUUAUCAUUUAUUAAAAGCUUAGGGGAAAAAUGGUAAUAAACAGCUUGCACAAAAACAGUUUGGACAGCAGCAGUAGACUAACUUUGAAAAAUCACCAUAAACUUUAGAAAUCGAAUUAGAAGAUUAAAAAAAUAUGGCAUUAAAGCUUAUUGAGUCUAGUUUCUCAUAGAAGAAAUAGUGUAAGCAAUGGAUUUGUAAAUUUUGAGAUAUAAUGAAUUUUGUGAGAAAAGGUCAGAAUGAAUUCGGGUUCCCCUGUUAUGACUUUGAAAAAUCAUAAAAAAUUGAAUAAAAACAAUUAUGGGCUUAAAUUUAUAUGUAUAGAAUCCUUAAUGAGUCUAUUUUUAAGAGAAACAAACAAUAACAUUAUUUGAAUUCUGUAUGAAGAGAUAAUUAGUUUUUAGGGAAGAAGGGUCAGAACUGUCGACAGCAGAACAGGGGUGACUUUAAAGAAUAAACUGUACUUAUUGGAUUAACCAAAAAUUCUGAAAAUUUUAUGGUAAAAAUAUAUAUGAGUCUAGUUUGAGAGAAAAUUAACGGAUCUUAAUUUGGAGUUCCGUAUCUCAAGUUAUAAAUAAUUUAGUGACUAUGACUCAAGUAGACAGCUUUGAAUGAACUAUAAAUAAUAGUUGAAUUAUAGAGAAUGUUGCAUAUGAACAUGAAAUGUAUUAAAUUGAUAAUUAAAUUUAUUUAUUUAGAUCCGGAAGAUUCAAAUACGAAGCUAGAUCGAGGAAAGAAAAAAGUUCGGGAUUAGUAGAUUUUUAUUGUUUACAAACAAGUAUCAAGGUAAGUUCGUGUAACUUGAAUUAUAUUCUUAAAUGCUUGAGAUUGUAUGUUAUUGAUGUGAAUAUGAUUUGAGUGUUCAUUGUAUGAAAAUUAAUGAAACAUUGAUAUAUUUGAUAAAAUGGGAAGAAAUCUCGGUUGAAUGAAAGGAAAAUUCGAUGGAUCUCUGAAAAGGAAUUGACGGUAAAAAAGAUCUAGCCCGGACGGGUGAUCCUAUCCUGAUAUAGCCCUCCCGAAGAAUAUGUGUAAAAUGGAUUUAGCCCGGACGGGUAAUCCGAAUUAGAGUCUGAAUUUAGCCUGGACUGGUAAUUCAGAUCCAAGCUCAUUAGAGUAAUUGUCGUUGCAGGGGAUUUAGCCUGGACUGGUAAUCCCGACAAUACUCUAUGAGUUUAUAUUGCAGGGGAUUUAGCCUGGACUGGUAAUCCUGCUGCAAGGUUGAGGUUAGCGGGAGUGUGCUCUCUGAAAUGGAAAUGUGCGCACAUGAAUAUGAAUUGACGGACCCGGAAUUGUACACUAAAAGUGUACCUCUGAAAAUCCAUCGAAAUUCCGAUAAAUUCAACGGGAUAAAUAUGGAAAAUAAUAAGGGAAUGAAAAUCAUGGUAUUGAUGAGUACAUCAAUCAUGGUAUUUAUUAUUGGUACAUGGAAAUUAUUGUACUAACUUGAAUGUUGAGUUUGUGCAUAUUAGAGUAAUAAUGCAUUGAAUGGAUAUAUGGAUGUUUAUUGUAUUGUAUUGAAAAUAUUAGGUAAGUAUAAUUCUUGUUACAUGAGCUUACUAAGCACGAAGUGCUUACCCCGUUUCCUUUUUCCCUGUUUUGUAGUGUUAAGAGCUCGGAGGUCGGAUUUGGUCGGAGACACAUCACACUAUCAACCUCUGGAUUUCGGUAUAUAAAGAAACUUUAUUUUCGAAAUCAAUGGCAUGUAUAAGCUAACAAAGUAAAUGUUAACGUGAAAUGAAUGUAAAGUUAGCCAUUAGUAUGGUUAACAAACCUGGUUUUAGAUAUGUGAUGACGUUAUCUUAUAAAUAUGCAUGAAUUUAUCUUGAAAAUAUGUUGAAUUGAUUUGGUUGAUGUGGAUUGGUCUCGAUUUAAUAUUGUAGGGAAUGUUAGAUAUUUAUAAAGGGGCUAUAUUGAAUAUAAAAAAAAUUUAAUUCGUAAACUUCGAUAAUGCCUCGUACCCUAUUCCGGCAAUGAAUACAGGUAAAGGUAUUACAAGAGCAAAGUUUGAAAUUAAGUUAUCAUAAUAGAAAAUUUUGCUAGAAUACAAAAUGAAUAAAAUGAAAGUAGGUGCCCUAGAUACCGUAGCAUGAGCUUCUCCGCACAAAACUUCUCGAGGACCCUUUGAACUUGCUAUGUAUUUAAAAGACCUAAAAUGCUUUGUUGAUGCCCCAAGAUGUAACAUCCCUCCUUCUUGUUAAUUUGGGCAUUGCAAGACUACUGCAUGCCUCACCUUUGAUCAAAAUUUGAAUUGCCUUUUUCUUGGGAUUUCAAUUCAGAACCCCUUUGGUCUCAAGGCGCCCUUUGCGGGUUUCCGCCUUGGCCUCUCCCUUUUCUUUUCUUUUUCUUUUCUUUCUUUCUCUUUUUUUUUAAGUGAAGUAUUCCUUGAUUGAAUUCGAAUUCACAGGAUUAUGCAGGUUCUUGCCAUCCAUCUUGGUCAGUAUCGAUGUUCUUCUAGAGAAGGCCUUUUUUACCACAUAAGAUCCUUCCCAGUUUGGCAUCCACUUUUAUCUGAAGUCCUUUUGUAUAGGAAGGAUCUUUUUCAAAACUAGAUCCCCUUCAUAGAAUUCUUUGGGGCGAACCUUUUUUUCAUAAGUUCACAUCAUUCGUUUUUGGUACAUUUGACCAUGACGGAUAGCUUUCAAACCUCUUUUCUUUAAUCAGGUUCACUUGAUCAUAUCGAAAUUGGAUCCAUUCUACUUCAUCUAACUUCAGCUUAACUAAAACUCAGACGAAAAAAAUCUCAACUUCAAUGGGCAAAACCACCCCAUUCCAUAAACCAAUGAGAAAAGCGUUGGCCCAGUAGAGGUUCUGAUAGACGUUCGAUAGGUAUAGAUGGUAAUUUCUUAUGCCGAUCUUUGUAAGUCUCUGCCAUUUUUCCACUAUCUUCUUAAUUUUAUAAUUGGUUGUAUCCACUGCACCGUUCAUUUUUGGGCUAUGUAGUGUUUGAUCUUGAACUAACUGCAAACUUCUGAUAUCGUGCUGUUAUGCAUUAUCAGAUAUGAUCAUUUUUGGCAUUCCCUAUCGACAUAUGAUCUUUUUUUUUAAACAAUUUGAUGACUGCCGACUUUAUGACAUUACCGUAUGAAGCAGCUUCCACCCAUUUAGCGAAGUAAUGGACGAUCACACAGAUGAAACGAUGCCUGUUAGAAACUUUUGGGCGAGAUCAGCCCAAUGACAUCCAUGCCCCAUAUAGAGGAAGGCUAUGGAUUCCACUGACUUUUUGUAAGGUAAGAUUUAUUUCUCAUCUUGUUCUACCAUCCUUAACAAAUCAGGAGAUAAGCUAUAGUCUUGGUUAUCUUCAAAGUCCUGAGGUUCCUUUGGACACAUAUCUUGCUCAAAAUGAGGUUCUGAGUCAAUAGUAGUGUCACUCACACCAUUGAUAUUUGGAGACCUGUUGUAGGGAUGAAAAAAGAUCCAAAGAACGAAAGAGUCUAAGAAUAAUUAUUUGUAUGGUACGAUUAAAUGAAAAAAAUAAAAGAAUAUUUGCUCAGAAUGAGGCAAACAGAUGCAUUUUAUUUGAAAUAAUGAUAUUGGACAUAAGCUUAUUUCACAAAAGGUUUCUUAUUGCUCCUAGGCUUAGAGCAAUAAGUGUGUUUUGAACAUUACUCUGAAUUAGCUCUAAAAAAUACAAGGAUCUCUUCUACAGUCCCAUUGUUCAAAAUACUUUCAGGUAUGUAAAGGUAAAUGCUUGAAAAAUUCUUUUCUCCGGUUCUCUCUUUGGAUACGGCAUUAAUGUUCAGAUUCCCCAACAUUCUUUCUGGGCCUUUGACCUCUUCAAAGAAUUCCAACUCUUUGUUAUCCAUUAGACUUUGCACCAAAACUUUGAAUUUGGCACACUCUUGGAUUUCAUGACCUUCUUUAGCAUGGAACUCACAGUAGCUCCUCAUCCCUUUUGGUCUCUUCUCUGAAUUCUGAAUAAUUAAUCUCAUGUUUAUCAUUUGUUUCAAAACCCAUUUCAGUGGGGUUUUUACUUCUGCAACAUUGGUUUUGGCUCUCUUUUCUCCACUCUCAAUUAUCAUGUUUACCCUUGGGUCUGGAUGACUGGGUAACGAAUUUUCUGCCACAUUAGAUACCGAUGGAUCUUCGAAUUUUACGAUGCCCAUCUUGAUUAACCUUUCGAUUAAAUUUUUAAAUGUAGUGUAGUUUUCAAUUAAGUGUCCUGUUAUUCCUGCGUGGUACUCGCAUUGGGCAUUUGCAUCAUACCAUUUCAGGAACGGAGGUUGCAUGGGUUUCGAGUAGAACGGGGAUGCCACAUAUGUGGCAAAUAGAUUCUAAUACAGCUCUCUAUAUGUUAUCGGGAUGGGUGUGAACUGGAGCCUUUCUGUAUUUGACAUCGAUUUGGAUUCUUGCCUUAAAGGGCCUUGAUUACGGCCCUUUGCUGGCCUACAGUGAUCGAUUUGGGAUACCCUUUAUUAAACACUUACACGUUUUUCACUUCAUUUUCAUCUUUCUUCGAGGUUGAUCUUCUGGCACUUUCCUUUGCAUCUAUCUUCCCACUCCUUAUUGCGUUUUCAAUCAUCUUGCCGGAUAUUACUAUAUCUAAGAAGCUCAUGGUAGCACCUCCCAACACAUGAUUAAUGAACAGAGCCUUCAGAGUAUUAAUGAAAAGAAUGGUUGUUUCCUUCUCCAGAGGAGGUGGUUGGACUUGCGUCGCUACCUCUUUCCAUCUUUGGACAUACUGCCUGAAGCUUUCACUUGGUUUCUUUUCCAUAUUUUGCAGUGUGAUUCUGUCAGGUGUUAUGUCCGUCACAUGACUAUACUGUUUCAUAAAAGCCUGUGCCAAAUCCUUUCAUGAAUUGAUUUUGGCACGGCUCAAUUGGUUGUUCGUUUGGCUACAGACCCGAUCAAACUGUCUUGAAAGCAGUAGGUUAAUAAUUGGUCGUUAUUAACAUAUCCUGUCAUCCUUCGAUAGAACAUCGUGAUGUGAGCUUCAGGACAGCUACUCCCAUUAUACUUUUUGAACUCUAGAGUCUUGAAUUUUGGUGGGAGAACCAAAUCUGGAACCAAACUCAAAUCUUUAGCAUCAAUUCUGCAGUGGUAGUUAAUGUUUUCCGUUGCUUUGAAUUUUUCUUCUAAUCAUCUGCACAUAUCUUCAAGUUGCUUUGGCAGUUCCACUCUUACUUUUUCCAUUUCUACUAUAUCAUAUAGAUCCAACAACAGAAUUGAUUAGAUUAUCCCCCGGAUUGGAGCCCGAACCUAUUGGAUAGUUCGCUGGUGUAGAAGUACCAAUUUGGUAUUGUUGGGGUCUGAUAGUAACGGGUACCCUUCGUGGGCAGGCCUCUGGUUGAGUCUGGACAUUUAUCGGGGUAAAACCUGGGGGAUAGGUAAGGUCUUCAUUAUCAUCCCCCAAGUUAACCGCAAUAUUCUUCCCUUUUUCAAGUCCUCCAGCCAGUAAUUGCAUCAAGUGGCUUAACAUACUUCUUUGGGAUUCUUACAUUUGAUCCCUGAUAUCUUUUUGAAUUUUGGCUAAUUAUUCUUGCAUCUGUGCUUGCAAUUGAUAUUGCAUAUCUCUUUGCAUUUGUUCUAAUCUUUCCAAUCUUUGAUCUAUUGCCUUGGCUUUGCGGCGGGUACUGUAACGAUAUUUAGUUGGUAAACUCUCGUUAAUUUCCAGGGUAAUUGUCAUAAUUUUAAUUAAUUAGGAUCUCGUUGUGAAUUUUAAUGCAUAUGAUGCAAUAUAAUACAAAUGCAUGAAAUGAAUACAAAAAGAUGUGUUGAUUCUGAUUCAAUUCUGUUAGAACAACUUUACUAGAAAACAAAUCUAUUUACAUAAAAUGGAUAUUUACAUAUACAACUUUAACCUAAUAUUCAAAGUGAAGACAUCGAUCUUUUUCUUCAUAUUCAGAUGUUAUGAUCGAAUCUCGCGAAUUUUCUAAGGGAUGUUUCUACUAUCUCUUUUUGCUUGAUUCGGGCCGCGACCUGGCUCACCCAUCCCCAUGAUGCUCAUUAGCUUCUUUAAGAAAUUUGAAACAUUAACGACUUUCAAAUAAUCUUUGUCGGCUUGAAUCCUCGGGCAACAAAACAAAGUCGUGUAUCCCUUUGUCAGACUAUAACCCUUCUUUCGCUGUGUUUUCUCGGACCAUAUUCGGACGACCGCAUUGUCUUCCACUUUAUCAAGAAAUCCAUUUUCCAUGACAAACUUUCUAUUUAGCAACUGAACGUGAAUCAACACCUCUUUUCUAUGAUGAAAAUACAAUGCAAUAAUAACCAAAACAAAAUGAAAUAGGUUAGAACAAAGCAAAAGUAAGCAAGAAAAAAUAAAUAGAGCACAUAUUCGGGUGAACACUAGGGUUUGGUAUAGUUCUACCUAGGGUAGGUUUUUAGGCUCAUUAUAUGCUGUUUGGUUCUAAAGUAAGGGUACCUGAACUGGCAGAUUCCUCGAUCUUCACCCAUUAUAGGCUCAUGCGGAUUGAGUUCAAUUUAGAGGAAUACAUUUCCCUAUGGCUAUACGGAGAUGAAAAUCUCACGAAGACAUUGGUACGGAUGUAUCCCAAAAGCGAUCCACUACCCUAUACGGAGGUGAAGACCUUACGAAGGAAUAAUUUCUCACUCCCACUUAAUAGGGUAAAAUUGACCGAUCCUGCAAUGCCAUAUGUAGAGAUAUAUUAAAAGGGCUCAAAUCAAUAAAGUAAACAUAUUAUGACCAAAACCACAAAAAAUGACGGAUGUAAUGCAACGAAAAGAUCGUAAUUUUAAACCAGAUUUCCAAUUUUCGACAAAAAGACAGAAAAUAAACAAUUUGCGGCUUGAAUCUCUUAUUUUGUCCCUAACGGAGUCACCAAGCUGUCGAAACUAUUUUUUUGAAAAGGUCGACUUUUAUUUUAAAAAACGAAAAUGGAGUCGCCACUAAUAUUUUUUAUGAGGUGUGAUCAGAUCACCUCGUAAAUUUAAUCGUUUUAAUAAAAUAUUUUGAUUUAUUAAAAUAAUGAUUUUGGUCUACGAAAUUUGAGAAAACGGGCUUGGGAUUCGAUUACGUGCGAGGAAGGAUUCGCACCCUCAUCACGCCCAAAAUUGGUACCUAAUUGAUUAAUUAAUGUCCUAAUGUCGAAAGUUGAAAUUUUGAGAAAAUUUUAAAAUACAAUCCCUUUUUUAUUAAUGUUAAUUUUAAAAAUGCUUGAAUUAAAUUGAAGCGAGCAUCAAAGGCCCACUCGUCCCGACAUAACAAAAUACCAUAUCUGUAAGUUAGGAUGCGACAUUUGAAUCCUCAAGAACAAGUUUGCCUUUAAUUUUUACCGAAACUUCAUGUACUUUAAAAUCUAAAAGGAUAUUUGGCUAUUUAGGUUUAAUAAGAAAAUCGAAAUCCCGUAAGUUAGGGUACGAUUUCUCGAAUUCCCAAAAUGCGAAUAUUGCCUUAUUUUGAAAAUUUUCCUUUUUGAAUAAUGAGUACAACACUUAACGAUGUGCAUUUAUUUUGUUUGGAGUAAAAUAAAACGAUCUAUAUUGGAUAAACACAUUGGAUUUUAAUACACGAUGUGAUUUAAACGAAAUAAAAUAAAAAGGUAAUAAACCAUAAAAGUAAUACAUUCUAAUCUCAUACUUAGCAUAUUUUUGGAUGAUUUAUCAUAUAAUUUAGUGAAUUAGAUGCUCUUAAUCCUUUAAUUUCACAUUUUAUACUCAAGAGAGCAUAGAGGAACAAAAUAAGUAGAAAACAUGCCAAAAACGGAGAAAAUGGGCUGAUUGAAAGAUCCACACGGCCAAGACGAAUUCCACACUAAUUGAGCACACGCCCGUGUGAGCCACACGCUCAUGUGGUAGCCCGUGUCGAUAUCGCUCCCUAUUUCUCUAACACGCAGAAAAAGCCAAUUUUAGGGUUUCUGAGUAUUCUAAAGUCUAUAAAUACAUACUAAAAGAGGACCUAAGGGGACACACCGAGUAGAGGGCAAAAAUCACACGAAGGAAGCUGUUGGAAUCAUCUUAGAAACAGAUCCACCUCAAGAUUUAAGAUCUCCAUUCAAAUUUCUCUCGAAGUUUAUUUGAGUUUUUUAUGUCUUGUUGUUUUUCUAAAUUUGAGAUGUUUUCCUUUUACAUUAUGAACUAAACUCCCUAAAUACCUAGGGAGGUUGAAACCUACAAUGGUCUUGUUAUUUAAUUAUCUGAAUUACACGAUAAAUAUUUGUUCUUAUUCUUAAUUAUGUGUUAUUAAUUCUUACUUUAAUAUUUUCAGGAUAUUAAUUCAAGUUUGAUGUGCUUAUUCAGUGGAGCAAAAGUCCCUGUUUAGGAGUAGAUCUAGCAUAAUUAAGCGGAGUUGAUUGCAAUCCUAGAAAUAGGACGACAUAAAUCUGUCGGAUUAGAGUCAAAUCUAAUAAGGGAAUCCAUAGAUUGAGUUAAUGCGACUAUAGGGGUUUUAAUUAGAAAGGGAUUUCAAUUAAUCAACUUAGAGUCAGUUGUUUUUAGUCUCGAAAGAGAUAUUAACAUAAUUUAGGGAUUUUUACGGAUCAAGACAAGUGAAUAGAUCGUUUGAUUCAGAGUCAGAAUAAUAAGUAAAGUCUAGGUGGAUUCUUUCCUGGGUAUUGUCCUCUUUAUAAGUCUUCUUCAAGCAUUUUUCCCAAUUCACUCUUUGUUGCGUUCAGUAGUUAAUUAGUUAAUUUUAAAUUAAAACAAAUCUCUUAUAUUUUAGGUUAUAUAAUAGAAAGAUAGUUACUACUAGUACUUUUAGUCCUUGUGGAUACGAUAUUCUAGACUCACCAUAACUAUACUACCAUUUGAUAGGUGCGCUUGCCUUUGUCGUGAUUGUAAUCUAGUUUAGUGAAGCAUAAAACGAUUAAUACAUAAAUUAAAUACUAUGUUAAUGAAUGUCAACAAUAUGAAGAUAUUAAUAAAUAAUUUCUAGAGCAUAUAAUGGUAAUAUUCACAUAAUACACUAUUUUAAUACCAAUAUUAACAAACGAAGAAAACAAAACAAAAUAAUAUAUAAAAAAAAUUAAAUAUAUAAAAAAAUUUAAAGUAAAUAAUAUUUUAAAAUAAAUAAUUUAUAAAACGUUUUGAAAUAAAUAAUAGGACAAUUUUAAAUAAAUAAUAUAUAAAAAAAACUUAUAAUAAAUAAUAAUAAAACAGUUUCAAAUAUACAAUAUAAAAAUUUUAAAAUAAAUAACAUAUAAAACAGUUUAAACUAAAUAAUAUAUAAAAAAUAAUAACAUAUGUAAAAGUUUGAAAUAAAUAAUAUAUGAAAAAAAAGGUUUAAAAUACAUAAUAUAUAAAAAAACUUAAAAUAGAUAAUAUAUAAAUAAUUUAAAAAUAAUAUAUAAUAAAACAAUUUCAAAUAUACAAUAUAAUUUUUUUUUUAAAAUAAGUAACAUAUAAAACAGUUUAAACUAAAUAAUAUAUAAAAUAAAUAACAUAUGUAAAAGUUUGACAUAAAUAAUAUAUGAAAAAAAAGGUUUAAAAUAAAUAAUAUAUAAAAAAACUUAAAAUAGAUAAUAUAUAAAAUAAUUUAAAAAUAAUAUAUAAUAAAACAGUUUCAAAUAUACAAUAUAAUUUUUUAAAAAAAAUAAGUAACAUAUAAAACAGUUUAAACUAGAUAAUAUAUAAAAUAGAUAAAUUAUGUAAAAGUUUGAAAUAAAUAAUAUAUAAAAAAGUUUAAAAUAAAUAAUAUAUAAAAAAACUUAAAAUAGAUAAUAUAUAAAAUAAUUUAAAAAUCAUAUAUAACAAAACUGUUUCAAAUAUACAAAAUAAUUUUUUUAAAAAUAAGUAACAUAUAAAACAGUUUAAACUAAAUAAUAUAUAAAAUAGAUAACAUAUGUAAAAGUUUGAAAUAAAUAAUAUAUAAAAAAAGUUUAAAAUAAAUAAUAUAUAAAAAAACUUAAAAUAGAUCAUAUAUAAAAUAAUUUAAAAAAUAAUAUAUAAUAAAAUAGUUUAAAGUAAAAAGUCAAGGAUUGAAUUGAAAUCAGAGUAAAAAUAUGGGGCGUAAAUUGUAAAUGAUAAAAAGGGUGCCAGGGACCAAAAUAGAAUGCGCUUAAAGAAUGAGGGACUGAUUGAGAAAAUAUUCCCAUCCCUUAUGUGCAACGUUUCAGUGUGGGCCAAAGUGUACUAAAAAAUAAAUUAUGUGGACAAAUCUAAAACAUAUCAAACUAUCGUGGGAUUAAAUUGAAACGUACAAGAAAAACAGAAUGAUUAAAAUAGCAAAUAGCCCAUUUGGGCCUUAAAAAUACGCGGAUCCCCCACUAAACGGGUCGGGUUGCGGGUUGGUCCCCCAAAACGACACCGUUUUGGCGUUUGGGGGGCCAGAUGAAACUAUGUCGUUUCAUGGGUGCUAUUUAAGCCCAAAUUUUUUUAAAAUUUCAUUUUCAGCCUUCCCCUUUAAAAAAAAAAACUCAAACCAUCUCACUUUCUCCCUUUCUCUAGUGAUUGGGCCACCGUCCAUCUGCCAUGGCCGUCGGCGACGGUGGCCGCUGUAUAUGGCGGCUGGAGUCGAAAAGAAUGGGUUUUUCUUCUAUCUUUCGGUUCCCUCGCACCAUCGGUGGGGGUUUUCGGCGAGCCCGUUGACUUGGCCACCCUCCAGAUCAGAGCAAUCUCCGACGGCGACAAUAAGGUAACUAGCUUUCCUUUUUCUUUUCUUUUUUUUUUAUAUGUAAAAAUACACAAAGAAAGAAAAAAAUAAGAUGAGAACUUAAAACUAAAACAAAGUAAAGAAGAAGAUCACCUUUUAGACAAUUUUUGUUCCUUUUUUUAUUUAAUCUUGUGCUCGUAAAAAAAUUUUACAAGGAAAAGGUUGUGGCUUUUAAAGCCAAGUUACAAGACUUUUCCUUUCUAUUUUUUGUCUGUUUCUUCUUGUUUGCUAUUGUUAUUUGUUUUUCUUUGUUUGUUCUCUUUUGCUUGUGUGUUUUUCUUGCUUUGCAAGUGAUAGAGGCGUCAGACGCGCUUGGAGGCAGUAGCAGCAGACAAUGGUGGCAAAGGCGUGCGGCUGCUGAAGUUUGGGGGGCUAAGGUUAGGGUUUUAAAAAUGUUUAAACAUUCUGGGCCACUUAGGCCUUCAAAUUUUGGGUUGUUAUUUUAAUUAUUUUUUGGCUUUAGAUUUGGGCUGUUUGGUUUGUAAAUGAACUAUUCAUUUUUUGGACUUUUACUUUUUGGGUUUUAUUUUAUAAACUGGGCCAGGCCAAAAUUGGCCUAUUACAGAGUUAAUAAGUGCAAAAGUCUCAUUUUUACUCAUUUGUGACCCAAUUUGGCGGUAGUGCCAUUGGGGAACUAACAUGUGGUUGAGUGGUCUAAACACGUGUUGGAGGUUAAAAACGAGCGAAAAAAGCACCAAAAGAAAGGGUAUCACGAUAUCCAAACCUUUGAAUCCCGAUACCUCCAACAGGCUUGAAGAUUAGAGACCACCCUUCGGUGGGAUCGCAAUAUCCAUUUUGGGCAUUGCGAUAUCUGCCCUUAAAGACGACCCCCAAGUUCGAAACUGACUGGGGUAUCGCGAUAUCCUCUUUUAGGUAUAGCGACACUGAUAUCGUAAGGGGGAAAUUAGACAAAAAGGGUAGUCUUUGUCCACCCGAUGCACUAAUCACACAAGGCCCCUGUAGGGGAAAUUUUGGCAACAAAAUUUUAUCAACAUUCAGCCUAAAAUAGCCAAUUUUGGCUGAGGAGGAAAAAGACACACAUUAGUUUAAUUUUUAGCUUUAGUUUCUCUAGGUUUUCUCUUAAUUUUUUUUGGAACUUUUCUAGGAUUUUAUUUUUUCUUCUCCUUUAAUAGUUUUAGAGUUUAUUUUUCUACACUUGCUUUUUGUUCUUAGUGUUCUAAGUGUUAGUUAAGUCAGUUAUCACUAUAACUUAGGUUUAUUUGCACUUUCAGUCUCUGUACCUUGAUUGUAAGACAUUUUUAGUUUAAGUUUAAUGUAUUUCAGUUUCAUUUACUUUAAACCAGCUAAAGUUUGUUGCUUUAGAUUUUCUUAUUGAAUGCCUUUAGUUUCAUAUUUUUUAAGUUUUCUUGCAUAAAAAUCUAAAGUUUAAAUUUUUCUUAAGCUUUACUUUAAUGGUUUCUUUGCUUUUCAUUUCUAUGCCCAUUAGCUUUAUUUUCAGCAUGAGUAGCUAAACCUAAAAAGAGGUUGGUUGAUGGAGAUAUGGGUAAGUUGAUUUUUUUGGACAAGGGAUUAAUUUGUAAUAAAUUAGACUAAAUCGAAUAGACCAAAAAACUUAGGGAUUGACGCCCCUAAGGGAAUAUCUAGACAAGUAAGACCGAGAGGUAAUCUUGUUGUGCACCAAUUCAUUAGUCCCAGAUUAACCGAUGAGAUCGAGAGAUAAACCAUAUUAAUUUGUCUAAAUUGGUAAAAUUGAGAUUGAGAGAUAAAAAUGAGCCACUUAGUAAUUUAAGUGAUUUAAGUCCCUCAUUCGAAGACCAACGAACCACAUCAAAUUCAACCAACCACCGUUAGUCAUCUUGUAAUGGCCUAAAUUCAAAGUUAUCGGAACAGUGGUUUCGUAACCACAAAUCCAAUUUAAAGAAAAAUUUAUUUCAAUAUUUUUGCAUGAAAAUUGAUAUGAUAGGAAAAUCGUAUGAAAAUAUUGAUAGAAAAAUUUUACCGAUUUAGUGGUUAGUUAGAAAAAGAAAUUAUUGAAGAAAUUGGGUAAAAACAAAGUAUCGGGACCUCUAUCUCUUAAAACUGAGUCAAAAAUAAUUUUAUAAAUAUUUAUGAAAUGUUAGUAAUGUGGUAUUAAAAUUUUGUUAGGAAAUUUUAAUGUUUGGGUAGUCAAUUAAAUGAAAAGGACUAAAUUGUAAUAGGUGUAAAAGUUGCUAGAAUGAUUAAAUAGCUUAAGAGUCUAAUGAGAAAGGAUUUAAAAGAAAAUUAGACCCAAAAUUUAUUAUGGCUGGACGGAAAUCAGCAGGAAAAUUGAUAAAUUAAGGGAAAAUUUGAAAUAUUGCAAAAUUAACUAAAUAAAGCUAGGACUAAAUAGGAAAUAUCUAGAUUUCUCUUCAUUUCUCUUCAAUUCCAGCAGCUAAAAAUGCCAUAGGAGGGUUCUCUAAGCUGGUAUUUCAUAAUUUUUGCACCAAGUGAGUUAAUCCUUGCCUUUUUCUUGUAAUUUUUGUGUUUCUAAGACUUUUACAACUAGGUCCUACUAUUAAAUUCAUUAGUUUUUGAUUUCAUGGAUGAAAUUGAAAGUCACCAUGAUUGAGUGCUGUAAGUUUAUCAUGAAAUAGAAUGAAAUUAAAGCUUUAAUUUGUUUAUGAGAUGAUUUUAUUAGGUAAUUUCAAUAGAAAUUGAUUUUUAGGACCUAAUUGUGAAAAUGCUUGGAAUUAAAGUCUAUUGCUGAAAUUAUGAUUCCUAAAGGUUGUAAACUAGUUUAAGGUGAUAGAAUAAAAUGUUAAUCGAGAAAAAUCAGCUCAAUUAAGAGGCUAAUUGAGUAGGGACGAAAUUAUCAUUUAUUAAAAGCUUAGGGGAAAAAUGGUAAUAAACAGCUUGCACUAAAACAGUUUGGACAGCAGCAGUAGACUAACUUUGAAAAAUCACCAUAAAUUUUAAAAAUUGAAUUAUAAGAUGAACAAAAUAUGUAAUUAAAUCUUAUUGAGUCUAGUUUCUCAUAGAAUAAAUAGUGUAAGCAAUAGAUUUGUAAAUUUUGAGACAUAAUGAAUUUUGUGAGACAAGGUCAGAAUGAAUUCAGGUUACACUGUUUUGACUUUUAAAAAUCAUAAAAAAUUUAAUAAAAAUAAUUAGGGGCUUAAAUUUAUAUUUAUAGAAUUUUGAAUGAGUCUAUUUUCAAUAGAAACAAAUGGAAACAUCAUCCAAAUUUUUUAUGAAGAGAUAAUUAAUUUUUAGUGAAGAAGGGUCAGAACUGUCAGACAGCAGAACAGGUUUGACUUUAAAGAAUAAACUGUACUUAUUGGCUGAACCAAAAAUUCUGAAAAUUUUAUGGUAAAAGGAUAUAUGAGUCUAGUUUCAGAUAAAAUUAACGGAUCUUAUUUUGGAGUUCCUUAGCUCGAGUUAUAAAUAAUUUAGUGAUUAUAACUCGAAUAGACAACUUUGAAUAAACUAUAAAUAAUAAUAAUGAAAUUAUAGAAAUUGUUGCAUAUGAACAUGAAAUGUAUUAAAUUGAUAAUUAAAUUUAUUUAUUUAGAUCCAGAAGAUUCAAAUACAAAGCUAGAUCUAGGAAAGGAAAAAGUUCAGGAUUAGUAGAUUUUUGUACACGAACAAGUAUCAAGGUAAGUUCGUGUAACUUGAAUUAUAUUCUUAAAUUGCUUGAGAUUGUAUGUUAUUGAUGUGAAUAUGAUUUGAAUGUUCAUUGUAUGAAAAUUAAUGAAACAUUGAUAUAUUUGAUAAAAUGAGAAGAAAUCUCGUUUGAAUGAAAGAAAAAUUUGAUGGAUCUCUGAAAAGGAAUUGACGGUAAAAAGGAUCUAUCCCGGACGGGUGAUCCUAUCCUGAUAUAGCCCUCCCGAAGAAUAUGUGUAAAAUGAAUUUAACCCGGACGGGUAAUCCGAAUUAGGGUCUGAAUUUAGCCUGGACUAGUAAUUCAGAUCCAAGCUCAUUAGAGUAAUUGUCGUUGCAGAGGAUUUAGCCUGGACUGGUAAUCCCGCUGUAAGGAUGAGGUUCGCAGGGGUGUGCUCUCUGAAAUGAAAAUGUGGGCACAUGAAUGUGAAUUGAUGGACUCCGGAAUGUACACUAAAAGUGUACCUCUGAAAAUCCAUCGAAUAUUCCAAGAAAUUCAACGGGAUAAAUAUGAAAAAAAAAUAUAAGGAAAUGGAAAUCAUGUAUUGAUGAGCUCAUCAAUCAUAGUAUAUAUUAUUGGUACAUGGAAACUUGAAUGUUGAGUUUGUGCAUGUUAGGGUAAUAAUGCAUUGAAUGGAUAUAGGAAUGUUUAUUGUAUUGUAUUGAAAAUAUUAGGUAAGUAUAAUUCUUGUUACAUGUAUAAGCUAAUAAAGUAAAUGUUAACGUGAAAUGAAUGUAAAGUUAGCCAUUAGUAUGGUUAACAAACCUGGUUUUGGGUAUGUGAUGACGUUAUUUUAUAAAUAUGCAUGAAUUUAUCUUGAAAAUAUAUUGAAUUAGAUUGGUUGAUGUGGAUUGUUUUUUGUUUAAAAUUUUAGGGAAGGUUAGAUAUCUAUAAAGGGGUUAUAUUGUGUUAAAAAAAAUUUAAUUCGUAAACUCCGGUAAUACUUCGUACCCUAUUCCGGCAAUGAAUACGGGUAGGGGUAUUAUACAUCUAUUGGUCAAUCUCGUAGUUUUGUACUAUUUACAAUUUGGUCCCUAGAUUAGCAUAUUUAAUUUUCUUGCAAAACUUUCUUAUUAUGAUUUGUCAUACUAUAAUAUCAUAUCAGUAGCCGCUUAGGCUUUGUAGUGCAUGCUAUUUAUCACUCAAUCGUCAUCUCAUUUGGGUUCAAUCCUUGGAAUACUCCAGGGUUCCAUUGUAACACUACAAAUAUUACAACUAACCUGUACGCUUGUAGUAAAAUUGCGCUUUAAAUUUGUUCUAUAAAAUUGUUUGUUUUAUGCGCACGCGAUCAAUGAGCCUGUAAUAGCCUGUUUUUAAUGAAAUUGGAACAGUGGUUUUGAAACUACAAAUUUGAAGUCAGAAAAAUUUAUUUUAUUAUUAUUUUAUGGUUUAUAGUUUGAUAGAAAUACUGUAUAAAAAUUUCGUUAAGAAAUUUUAUUGUUUACAUGCCUAAUUUGAUAAAAAGGACUAAAUUGCAUAAAGUGUAAAGGUUGUGUUCUAAUAGCUAAAGGUAUUAAAUACCUAUAGAAUUUUAAAUUGGAGGUCCUUAUAUAGUAAAUAGGCCAUUAAAAUGCUUAGUGGAUAAGUAUGAAUAGUCAUCAUUGGAAAUUGAAUGAAAUAUUAAGGUUAAUUUUGGAAAUUAGUGAUUAAAGUUAUAAUAAAUAAAAUAAUCUAUUCUCAUCAUCAUCCAAAAAAUAAUAAUAAUAAUAAACCUAGCCAUGGAAGCUUGAAAAUUUAGGCAAGCUUAUUUUUCUCAAUUAGGUAUGAAUCUUUGUCCCGUUUUUAAUGAUUUCUAUGUUUCUAAUAUCGUAGUAGCUUAAUCUAGCUAGUUCGGGGAUUAAUUUGCAAAAAUGUUAAAGUAAUAGGGUUUUUCCAUUGAUGGAUAUGCUUGAAUUUUGAAUUUUGAAUUUUUAUGAUAGAAAAUGAAUGGUUGUUAUUAGAUAACAACUUUUGUAAAGAGAAUUUUGAUGAAAUUAUCAAUUAGGGAUUAAAUUGAAAAAGAUGAUAAAUUUAUGGUAUAAUUUGUGAAUUUUGUGAAAUAUAUGAGCUGCUAUUACUAUGUAUAAAAUCGGCUAGGCUUGAGUAAUGAUUAAAUUAUAUGAAUUUUAUUUUUCGAGCAAUAGACUAAAUUGCAAAGGAUUUAAAAAGUGUAGGGCAAAAUGGUAAUUUUGCCAAAAUUUUAUGUUGGAUUAAAUUGAAUGAGAAUUAUAUUGAAAUGAGUUAAAUUUAUUCGUAUAGAUCUUAUCAGACUUUUAGAUUGAGGCAAAGAGAAAAUAUCUGAUUAGUCGCCUUUGUAUCUACGUACACUUGUCGAGGUAAGUUCGUGUAAUUAAAUUCUACAUUUAUAUGUGUUAAAAUUGAAUUAUUGUUUGUGAAUUAUACAAUUGCCAUGAAUAAAUACCGGUUGUAUAUUCGACAAUUAUCGAGCCCUAUUUGAACCUUAGGAAUCCGUAGGCUACAAAUGACAUGUCAUUAGGGUUAUUGAUUUCAACUCUUAUGAGCUUCCUGAUACUCAGCUCGCAUGAGCUUCCCAUUAUUCAGCUCACAUGAGCUUCCCAUUAUUCAGCUCGGUGGAGCUUAUCGUUUAUAGCUCGUAUGAGCAUACAUGUACAUGAAUUGAUGGAUUAUAGUUAAGUACAUUUUGUGUGUACUACCCUUGUAUCCAAUGAUAUUCUAAAUGGUUCAACGAGCACAGUUCUGUUACGAGAUUAUAUGAGUUUGAUAUGAACUAUUACUGGUAUUUACAUGAAAUACAUGAAAUAUGAUUAUUUGAUGAAUUCAACCAUGUGUGUUGGAUUUUAUAUGUGAUUUUCAUGGCUAAUAUGUUGGUGAUCCUGUGUUUAGGAUUUUGGCCAAAUUGGUUAAGAUAUGCUUUGUUUACUUACCUAUUUUAUGAAUAUAUGGUAAGUUAAAUUCUGUGUUAUACGAACUUACUAAGCUUAAAUGCUUACUCUAUGUUAUUUUUCAUUUUUUAUAGUAAUUCAGAAGCUCGUACGGGUUGAAAACUGGUCAGAGCUAUUUUAGACUAUCCAUCGGCCCUUUUGGUACUUUCAGUAAAUUAAUUUCAGUUAUAAUGGCAUGUAUAGGUUAAUUUGGCCAAUGUUGGCAUAUAAUUGUUUUGUUGAGAUUAGCCACUUAUAUGGCUUGUGUUUGGUACAUUUUGAUGCAUAUAUAUAUAUAUGUGGUCUUACCCUAUUUGAUGUGUGUUUAAUAUGAUAGAUGAUGAAAAGUAAAAUGUGGUUUGAAUAUGCAUAUAUGUAUUUGGUCAUUUAUGUAACACCUCUAACCUGAAUCCAUCGUCGGAAUAGGGUUACGGAGUAUUACCGGAGUUUACAUAUCAAAUAAACAGACAUUUGAUAUCAUAUAACAUUCAUGUCAGAAACCCAUCAAAAUUAAACAUAUUGUCCCUUAUACGAGUCAUUGAGGCCCAAAAUACGAGUUAGAAACAAGUCAGGACUAAAUCGGGUACUCAAAGAAUUUCUUUGAAAAAAUUAAAAAUUUUCAAAAAUGUAGAGGCACACGGCCGUGUGACUCACACGACGAAGAGAUAUGCCUGUUCUCAGGCCGUGUGGGCAUUUGAAAUAAGGACACAUGGUCGUAUCUCUGCCCGUGUCCGUGCCUGUAUAACUCUUUAACUUGGGUCACAUGGCCAAGUCACACACCCAUGUGCUAGGCCGUGUUGAGUAUAUUGACUUGUGCAAUUUUAAAGAUACAGGGGACACACGGCCGUGCCACCUAGCCGUAUGUCACAUAAGUUGAGACACACGCCCGUGUUUCUUCCCGUAUGGACAAAAAAAAGUCAUUUCUAAGCCACAUUUCUCACCCAAUUUGGUACCAACCUAAACACAAAAAUUUGCAUAUCAACAAGCCAUAACAAGGCAUUCAAAUCAAGCUAAAAUCAAGUCUUAAAUAUGUAUUAUCACAAUAUACAACUAAUAUGUCAUUAGGCACCUCAAAUGAUAAAUUAAUAACAUGUCAACCAAAUAUUCAUAUUUACCUAGAUAACCAAAUGCAUAUAUGCAUAAUUGUACCAAUUAUACUAUUUCAAAAUCAAUCAUCAACAAACCUAUAAGUUUUCCAUCAUUUAACCAUAUCAAACACACAUUAAAUAUGAUAAGACCACAUAUAUAAAUACAUCAAAAUAUACCAAACACAAGCCAUUCAAAUGGUUAGUCUCAACAAAAUAUUUAUAUACCAACAUUGGCCAAAUUAACUUAUACAUGCCAUUAUAGCUAGAAUUAAUUUACUAAAAGUACCAAAAGAGCCGAUGGAUAGUGUGAAAUAGCUUCGACCAGUUUCCAACCUGUACGAGCUUCCGAAUUACUAUAAAACAUGAAAAAUAACAUAGAGUAAGCAUUUAAACUUAGUAAGUUCGUAUAAUAUAGAAUUUAACUUACCAUAUUUCCAUAAAAUAGGUAAGUAAAUAUAGCAUAUCCUAAUCCAUUUGGCCAAAAAGCCUAAACACAUGAUCACAACAUAUUAGCCAUGAAAAUCGCAUAUAAGAUCUAACACACAUGGUUGAAUUCAUCAAAAAAUCAUAGUUCAGUAUUUCAUGUAAAUACUGGCAAUAGUUCAUAUUAAACUCAUAUAAUUUCAUAACAGAACUGUGCCCAUUGAACCAUUUAAAAUAUCGUUAGAUACACGGGUGGUACACACAAGGUGUACUGAACUGUAAUCCGUGAAUUCAUAUUCAUAUAUGCUCAUACGAACUGUAAACUGGAAGCUCCUCCGAGCUGAAUAACAGGAAGCUCAUGCGAGCUGUAUAAUGGGAAGCUCAUGCAAGCUGUGGUGUGCCCGCAACACAUGCAGGACCCGAACUAAAUCGGUAACCCUAAUGACAUGUCAUUUGUAUCUUAAGAAUUUCAUAAGGUUCACACGGGACUCGAUAAUCGUUGAAUAUACAACCAGCAUUUAUUCAUGGAAAUUGUACAAUUCACAAACAAUAAUUCAAUUUAACACAUAUUAAUGUACACUUUAAUUACACGAACUUACCUUGACGAGUUUAUGUAGAUACGAAGGUGAAUAAUCUGAAAUUUUUCCUUUGCCUCGAUCUAACUCCGUACUAGGUCUAACCGGAUCUAUACGAAUGAAUUUAACUCAAUUCAAUAUAAUUCAUAUUCAAUUUAGUCCAGCAAUACAUUUUUGGAAAAUUUACUAUUUUUCCCCUAUGCUUUUAAUUUAUUACAAUUUAGUCCCUAGGCUUGGAAAAUGACUUUCAUGCAAUUUAAUCUUUAUUCAAGCCUAGUCAAUUUUUAUACAUAUUAAUAGCAUCCCACAUAAUUCACAAUUUCACAAUUUUACCAUAAAUUUAUCAUCUUUUUCAAUUUAAUCCCUAAUUGAUAAUUUCAUCAAAAUUCUCUUUACAAAAGUUGUUUAUAUAACAACAACUUUUCAUUUUUUUUAUCAUAAAGCUUCAAAAUUCAAGUAUGCUCAUCAAUGUAAAAACCCUAAUACUUUAUCGACUUUGCAAAUUAAUCCCCGAGCUAGCGAGAUUAAGCUACUAUGAUCUCGGAAACAUAGAAAUCAUAAAAAACGAGACAAGAAUACAUACCUAAUUAAGCAAAAAAAGCUUGCUAAUGUCUCAAGCUUCCAUGGUUAGGUUUUCUCUUUUUUUUUUGUGGUAGAUGAUGAUAAUAGAUUUUUUUAUUUUAUUUAAUAUCACUUUAAUUGAUAAUUUCCAAAAUUAACCUUAAUGUUUCAUGAAAUUUCCAAUGAUGACUAUUCAUGCUUAACCACUAAGCAUUUUAAUGGUCUAUUUACUAUAUAAAGACCUCCAAUUUAAAAUUCAAUAGCUAUUUAAUACCUUUAGCUAUUAGAACUCAACUUUUGCACUUAAUGCAAUUUAGUCCUUUUCAUCAAAUUAGGUAUGUGAAAGGUAAAAUUUCUUAACGAAAUUUUUAUACUGUAUUUCUAUCAUAUAGUAGAACAUAAAAUAAUAAUAAAAAUAAAUUUUUUCGACUUUGGAUUUGUGGUCCCCAAACUAGUGUUCUGAUUUUACUGAAAAUGGGUUGUUACAAUUUAAGUAAGUUUGGAUACUUGGUUGACAUGUUUUUAAAUUUUCAUUUGAGGUGCCUAAAGGCAUAUUGGUUGUAUGUGGUGAUAUUUCUUGUUUAAGAGUAGAAUUUGGCUUGUUUUGAAUGCCUUGUUAUGGCUUGUUGAUGUGCAAAAAUGUUGAGUUAGCUUAUGAGAAAUGUGGCUUGGAAAAUGACCUAUUUUCAUCCACACGGGUAGAGACAUGGGGGUGUGUCUUAGCCAUGUGUGACACAUGGCCAAGUGACACUGCUGUGUGUCCCUUGUAUCUUUUAAAUUGCACAAGCCAGUAUGCUCACACGGCUUAGCACAUGGGGGUGUGGCUUGGCUGUGUGACCCAAGUCAGGACGUUACACGAGUUGGGACACGACUGUUUGUCCCUAUUUUGAAUGUCCACACGGUCUAAGACACGAGUGUGUCUCUUGGCCGUGUGAGUCACACGGCCUGGCCACACGGCUGUGUGACCCCUACAACUUUGAAAAUUUUUAUUUUCUAAAAAAUUCUUUGAGUACCCGAUUUAGUCCCGACUUGGUUUUAAUGCGUAUUUUGGGCCUCGAGGGCUCGCAUAAGGGACAAUAUGUUGAUUUCGAUUGGUUUCUGACAUGAAUGUUAUAUGAUAUGAAAUGUUUGUUUAUUUGAUCUGUAAACUCCGAUAAUGCUCUGUAACCCUGUUCCGGUGAUGGAUGCUGGUUAGGGGUGUUACAGAGCCAAUAUUUGUUAAUACAUUUUUACUUUGCGUGCAAAAAUCAUUAAGGACAUAUAUAAAAGAUAAUGAUAUAAAUAACUAAUUUAUUAAAAAAAUUACAAGUAUUUAUGACGAAAUAACUAAACUAAGGGCAUUAGAUUCCGACAGAAGAUACUAUUCAUGGCAUAAUUAGUAUCCGGAAAAUUCACAUGGAAAGAAAGUAUUAAAGCAAGGAAAGUUAUGUGUUGAUGUGUGCAAAUUACCCGUGUGUACAAUCUCACUAGUGCAUUGGAAAAGUAAUAAAUAAAAAAAAUAAAAAAUCAUCAUGAAUUAAUAAGUUAAUUAUCCACUACUUUUUUCUUAAACUGAUUCAAAUAUGUAACAAAGGCACUAAGUCUUAAAAGACAUGUAAUGGGCUUAGGUUAAGGUACCAUAAUUCAAAGUAGAAGACAAUAUAUAACCUCAACUCAAGUUACUUGAGGAUCAAAUUAAGCACAUAAUAUGAAUUCCCAUAUUCUCCAAUUUUCAAAUUGAACAUUUUCUGCUCAUCCUUUUUUCUCUCAGAAUAAAGCAGGUAAAAAUAAUGACAACAAAUUACAAUGAACAUCACUAACACUUUUCUUUUGAAUCUAAAUUUUUCACUUUUUUUUUUCCUUUUCAAAUUUCUUUUAAUUAUUUUUGUUUUCUUUUCCGAAAAUUUUAUAAUAAAGUACACAAGCAACAAAAAGAAAAAUAAGCUUUAUUCUCUCUCCGUUUCAUCCACCAUAAUUUACCUAUCUAACGCCAUAAUUCUUGGGUUCAAACUAGCGAUAAAAAUCCAUCAAGCACUAACCAUCUAAAGCAAACAAGGGAGCUUUAUACUCGAUUCGCGAGAAUAUUCAAACAAAUAAUAAGGUUAAAAAAGAAAAAAAGCCCUACACCUUCCUUGUUGACACAUGUGUUCUCUGUUUUUUAUAUUAUAUAAAAUGGUUAAAUUUUAAAUUUGAUCCUUUUAUUAUGUAUAAGUUUAAAAUUUAACUUAUAUAUUUUAAUUAUUCUAAAUAGUUAAUAUCGUUCACUCUUUAAUUAAGAUAUUAUGUGAUUAUAUAAUUAAGAUGAUCUAAGAGUCCUAAAGCUUAACACAUAACUUCCCAUUUCUUUUGGGGUUGCUUUGUUUUUUUGUUUACAUUAUAAGACAGUGAUUAAAUUUUAUUUUUGACCCCUAUACUAUCCUAUAACUUGAUAUUUAAUCUAUAUACUUUAAUUCAUUAUAUAAACUGGUCUAUUUAUUUUUAUAAUGUCAAUCAAAACGCUAACUUUAAUUUUUCUUAAGAAUACUAUUCCAAAAAAAAAAUUUAUCAUGACGAAAUCGAAUGAAUAUUUUUAAGAAAAAAAUUCACAACAAUAUUUUCAAUGUUAUUUUUAUUGCUACAUGAAUAUCAAGGGAAUAUUUUUUAAUUUAAAAAUUUAAACCGAAGAAUUUUAAUGGUGGUUCCAAAAAAAUAUUUUAUCAUGAUGAAUUUGAGUAAUAAUUUUUAAGCAAAAAAACCCACAAUAAUAUUUUUAUUAUUACUUGAAUAUCAAAUAAAUAAUUUUUUUUCUAAUAAAUUUAAUAGAAAAAUUCUAACGAUAAUAUCCACUCUAAACCUAAACUUUUAAAUCCAAACAGUAAAAAACCUAAAAUCUUAAAAAUAAUACUUAAAACCUAUUCAACCAGUUUAUAAUUUAUCACAAAAAAAAAGAGUAGACAAAGCUCCAUUUUAUACAAUUUGGAAGAACACAAAUAACAAAAAAAGUAGUUAUAAAAAUCUGGAAGAAUAUGCAGAAGAUAAGAUUAAAAACCUUGGAGUUUAUCCAUUUAUAAAUGGCACAACACUGACAGCCAUAAAAAGGUGAAUUAUAUGAAGAAAAGUGGAAAGGGAGUUUGGCACCGCAAUGAUAAGCACAGUUUGUUUGGGGAUGACAAAGAUAAGGUCUCUUUUUCUUUUCAAUUAUUUAUCACUCAAUAUUUAAACUCAUUAGAAUAUUGAAUUUGUAUUCCCAUUAUUCCCAUCCAACCCUUUUUCCUGUUCUCAAUAUAUUAGCAAAUCAUAAUUUUAAUUAAAUUUUGUUAUUAGCUUUAUGUUAUAUCGAAGUUUAAUCAUUGCUAACUUUUAUACUUUUUAAAAUUUUAAAAUUUCAAUUUAAGCUUAAAAUAGUAGUUAUUAAAUUCAUUAACUAUACAUAUGAUAAUAUGUUUGUCGUAUUAAAUUUUGAAGUUAACAAAUUUAAUAAUUAUUAUUUGAAUAAAAAUUAAAAUUUUAAAAUUCAAAAAUAUAAAAAUAAAUCUGUAAAAUUUGACCUUAUUUUUAUUAUCUAUAUAUAGUGGUUUGGCAUCCAUUCUUUUCAGAAACCCCCCCACAAAUACGAGCCAUGCAGAGAUAAGAAGCAGAGCAUGGUAACUUACAAAAGUUGAACACAUGACGGUCUCCAUAAUCAAAAUUUCAUGAUUCUUCUGCCCAUACCAUACCGACCAAUCAAAUUCUCUCUAGUUCUUAAUUUAAUUUAAUUCAGGGAAUUUGGAAUAAAAUUUAGAGAAAAAAAACCCAGAAAAGAAGAAAAAAGAGAUUUGUAUAAGAUGCUCUUUUGGUUGGCAAAAGGCAAGCUCAUAGCUGUAUUUGUGCUUAUUUUAACUUAUAUUUGAAUUAUUUAUGAGUUUUGGGAAUCUCCAAAAUUGAUCGAAUAUUCACUUCAUCGGCACACAUUAAACCAACUCCAUUUUCAUUUGGGAGAAGAACUAAAACACCAAUUAUAGAUUGAUUAGGUUUCAUUUCAUAUUUCCUUAUUAGUCAUAGGGUUGAUAUCAAAAUUAUUGGAUUGCAUUCCAAAAAUGUGAUUAUUAGGAAUAUAAUAUUACUAUUUUUGGUAUCAUUAGAAAAGUACUAAUUAAAAUUAUGAGAAAGUCAUUUUUAUAUAUUUGGUUUAUUAAGGACUUUACUAGUAACAUCAUGGUAAAUUUUGAAAUUAUAUCUAUCAUAUAAAAUACAAAUCUUAAAAUAAAAAUAAAUUAAUAUAUUUAUCUCAAAAUUAAUAUAUGAUAAUUUUUUUAAUUUAAUAUAUAUUUAAUUAUUAUAUAAUUUAAAAUUUAACUUGAUAAUAUUUGAAAUAGAUUUAGAGUUACAUAAUUUUUAUGAUUUUGUAAAGAAAAAAAUGUAUACAAAUAAAGAAAAUAAAGAAAAAAAAAGAACAACUUUGUCUGUAUGUAACAUUUUAACUAUAUGGAAAAUUACCUUGCCAUUAUUACUUAAAAGGAAUCACAUUUCCAUGGUUGGUCACUAGUACAUCAAACUUGGUGAACUCUAUUGGUAAGUGAUGUGGGUAUGGGUACAAAUUUAGGACCAAACAUGAAGGUUCCAUUACUUGGAGAUGUGUUUCACGUACCUAUAGGGCCAAUUACAAGGGUAAGGGCUAGAAAACUUAAGGAGACGCUCAAUGCUCUUAUAUAAGUCGAUUGGGCUGAGUUAGAACAAUCUUCAUUGCAUUUUCGAGUUAACAUGGAACAUUAGCCUUGCAACGUUUUAUUCGUUGCUCAAUAAGUACUUUUGUUGACCAUACAUAUUUCAUCUCCAAAUCAAAAUUCAAGGAUUCAAGCAUUCAUGGAUGAAUUUAAUAGAGGAAGAAUUAAAAAUUCAAGCAUUCAUUGGUCAGGUUUAAUGGACGGAAUUCUAAAAGGCUCAUUCAAGCAUCCUAGGUGACUAUUCGAUUAACCAAAGUCCUUGAUAAUUACCACAAUUCAAGAUGGAAGCUGAACAUGACUUUUGGAAAACAAGUGACUUUUCAGCAACCUCGUGACCUUUGGAGAGAUUAUAUUUUAAUGCAUUUAUGCAUAUCAAGUAAUCAUUUAGUAACUCCCAUGCACAAUUAUUUCCACCAUCCAGAAAAAGGGGGCUGAAUAUGAAUUUUGAAGUUAUUCUUUGUUUAUGAAGUUUACAUGCAAGGUUGGGAGUUAUGUGACUUUUUGUGUACUACAUACAUUCAUGCAUAAUUAAGGCUUUAAACUUCAUGGAUGGGUUGACUAUUCAUAUACCUAGAAUAGUCUAUAAAUAGUUGCUCAUUUUGUAAUUUGAAUAUUGAUGAAUCAAAAUACAUUUUGUGAGAUUUUCUCUUGAGUUCUUAAGAACAUGCAAACUGAACUUAUCAAGGCUUUUGCCUUGUGGCAUUCUUCUUUCAUUUCUUAUACCUUCGGUUCUUGCUUCUUUAUAAAUAAUGGGUCGGGCUUUGUUCAAAACUAAUUCUUUUUUUCAACGGGCUACGUUCCAAUAACGUUGGUUCUUUUCUCGUACAAGUUAUUGUUUCAAGAUCCCUAUCUUAUUUCUUUAGUUAUCAAGUACCUGUAUAGAAACGGUUGGGCAUUCAAAAGACUUGUAAUUCUAAAUUGAUUACGAGCUCACAUUAGUAAACCUAUCUUCUCUAUUAAUGUAGUACAAAUAUAUGAAUAAGUUGAACGAUGGCCAACCAAUGCAUAAACAAAUUAGUCAAAUAAGGAAAGUAUACCCUAAUGACAUAAGCACAAUCUAGAGCUCAAGACUCAGGUUUAGAUGUAGCCUCCUUAUUAAUCCUUUGACUACCACUUAUCUUACCACUAACUCCAAACUUCUUACCCCUCUAAGUUGUAGAACUAGGUUUUGCAAACUGAACAGUAGUGCCCUCGAUCCUCUUUGGACAAUCUUUAUACUAGUUGUCUUGGGACCCACAUUGGAAGCAUGCCCCAAAAACCUUCAAACAAACUCCGAUGUGAUUCUUGUCAUAGAGCUCACAUGAUGGAAUUGAUGCUUUUCUCGAUCCACCAGUAUUAGCUAUCAAAAUAGUUUAUUGGUUUUGUCUACCUUGUUUCUUGCCUCUAUCCCAUAAGAUCAUGUAGGAGAAAAGAAGUGGUCUCGUGAUUCUCUAUCUCUCUUGGUUGAUAAUGGUGAAAAUAAACAAAGGUGAAGCCAGGGGUUGGCAGUAGCCUUGGCUUCCUUAAAAAUGAAAAAAAAAUCAAUUUAGUUCCUUUAAAAUUAUUAAAAUUACAAGUUCGUCUAUUAUAAAAUUAUACUUUGACCCCAAAAAAUAUGAAAAAAAAAUUAUGUUUAGUCCCUUUAAAAGUAAUGGAAUUAUAUAUUAAUAUAUGAUAAAAUUACAUUUUGAUCUUUCAAGUAUUUUAUAAUUCAAUUCGGCCCUUAAAAAAAAUUUUAGCUUCACCUCCUGCAAUGAACUCAUAGUUAUUCUCUUUCCAUGGUUUUUUUUAUUCACCUUUUUCUUCUUAGCAACCAUUUUCUCCAUUUUCUAAGCUCUUCCCGAUAAUAACAAAAACUCACUUAUCUUAAGAGCCCCUACAAGUAGCUUGAUGUCUUCAUUAAGGCAUCACUUGACCCUUGUACACAUUUCUACCUCAGUUGCUACAAGCUUAUUUUCAUAAUUACAUAAUUAACUAGAUUAUACAAGGUAGCUCAUUAAGGCCCACUCAAACCUUAUACUCAUUUCCUUGAUGUCUCCAUUUUUUAACCUUGUACACAUUAAGGCCCCACUCAAACCUUGUACACAUGUCUUUAGACAAAUGAACUCACUUUUUCAUACUCAACCACUAUCAUAAUGUCUUGCUUCAAAUAAAGAGACUCUCUCUUCUUCUCUUCCAAGUAUAAUAGAUUAAUGUACUUCUUCCAGUAUUCAAUUAGAAAGAAGUUCUAGUUUACCCUCUUUAUUAGAGUUACACUUAUCACUGUAACUUACCAUUGAUUUGCCUUAUUAUUCAAAAAACAGAUGGCACACCACAACUUUUCUUCGGAUGUGCAUUAGAGUUCCUCAAAAACUUUUUAGACAUGUUUUAGUCAAUAUUCUACCACAAACAAAUCAUUAAUUUUCUUGCCCCUGAGCUCUUCAACCCCAUACUUUCCAAGCUUCUCUAAAGAAAAAAACAUGUGAAAAUCAUCCAAGUACAUGAAUAAACACACAUUCAAGCUCAUAAUUUAUAAUGGUAAAUCAAUGAACCAAUUAGUUAUAGUGCAUGCAUGCAUCUCAAAGAUUUAACCAUUCAACCAUGGCAGUAAGGACAACUAAAAAAUAAUCUUUAAAUUAUGUCCUCCAACAAAACAUUAAUAACAUCCAACUUCAAGGUCCCCAAGUAAUAUGCAACUAAUAAUAUAUAUACAAUAUGAAUUAAACCUUAAGUACAUGCCAUUAAAAAGCCACUUCUACAUGUAUGUAAGUUUUACACUCUUCAAUACCUUAGGAUAGUGAUAUGAUCCAAAGAGUUGAGUUGGCUUUACGAUCUCUACUCAAAAUCUAUACAUAAUAAUAUAGUGGUGCGUUAUGUAUAAAUGAUUUAGUAAAAACUUAUGGAAAUGAACCUUCUUACCAUGUGUGAGACUUGAGUAAUGGAAGUAAAUUAAUUAAUACAAUAUUAAUAAGUGUAAUAAGUGAUACAAUUAGUCAAGCAUACUUAUUCAUAUGCGCGCGCGCACACACACACAUCAGAGUUCUAAUCAUACUGAAAUAUCCUUGGAAUAAUUAGAGUUCAAUUGGGAGAAGCAGUCCUACUUGAAAUAUAAAACGCAGCUUCCAAAUAGGAGAACACGCUGUGACAUGGCAUAUCACCUCGUCAAGAUGUCCUCUAUGCUUUGUCGUUUCAACAUUGUCGCAUUGUCUCGAUGCCCUGAUACUCCUCGUCGUGACGUUAGACCUAUUUUAGGCUUUCUUCGGUUACUCGUCAAAACAUCUUUCAAAGUACCUUCAAAACAUUUGAUAAAUGCAAUGUACAUCCCACAAAUCUCUAUAUUGACUUGUAUUUAUCACGCCUCCUUUUCCAUGCCCAGUCACGGGCCUAACUUAAAUUUUGUAAGAUACCAAACAAGCUCAACCAGUCUCGAACUUGUAAAUUGAAAGACUCAUAGUCUUUAAAUCAAAGUUGUAUGAUACAAUAAGGGCCAAUAAUACCUGAAUAAAAGAAAAAAAACAUCAACUCUCUUCACUUGACUAUAACCCUUUUCGAGCAACCUUGCCUCAAACAUUCAGUGAACCAUUCAAGUUUUAAAGACCAAAAAGAGAUUAGAUUCUUCUCUAAAGUAGGAACAUGUCUGACAUCUGAUACAACUCCACCUUCAACCAGAUUAUGUGGAGGGUAACGAAUCAUCACCCUUGUCCUUAGUCAUAUUAGCUGUCUCCGUAAUUAUAUGGAACUGCCAUAAACUAAAAUUUGUGAUCCGUUGAACUUCUCGAUAUCCAAGAUCAUUAUUGCAUCAGCGAACGAGUUAAUCUGUAGAAGUUGAACCUUGGUUCUGAUACCAAUUUGUUGGGGAUCGACCCAUAUAAACAACGAGCUAGUAAAUGUAAAAAAGAUCGAACACAAAUAUUUUACAUGGAAAACCCUCCGAAGAGGAUAAAAAACCCAUGAGUAAAGGAGGCUUCAGCUUUUCACUAAAUUAGUAAAAAACAAGAGUACAAUAUGAAGAAAAUAAACCUAAAAGUAUUAAACGUACAAUCCCAAACCUCAAAAACAAAGUCCUAACUCGAGAACAAAUUUCUCUCCAUAGUUACCAUGAAACUCUCACAAAAACUCAUAUGUGACUACAUCUUGUUGCCCUCGAGAAAAACCCUUGUUGAUUGGUAUCUCAAAACAUGGAUACAAUAGCCCUCUUAAAUAGGCUAAGAUUAGAGUUCUAAUCAUACUAAAAUAUCCAUGGAAUAAUUAGAGUCUAACUAAGAGAAGCAAUCUUGCUUGAAGUCUAAAACGCGUCUGCCAAAUAAGAGAAAACAUCGUGAUGUGGCAUAUCGCCUCGUCGCGACACCAUCUUUGCUUUGUCGUUUCAACGUUGUCACGUCGUUCCGACAUCCCAGUGCUCCUCGUCGUGACGUCGAGCCUAUUUUGCACCUUCUUUGAUUGCUCAUCAAAACGUCUUUCUAAGUGCCUGAAAAAAAUUUGAUAAAUGCGAGGCACACCCCACAGUUUCUUAUAGGCUUUCACUACAAGUAAGAGGAAAAUCCACUUUUUUAACUAGGAUACUAUGUUUAAGCUGAAGGAGAUAUGGGAUUUAGAUCUAUGUGUGACUAGAAUUUAACUCUUUGCGCAAAACUUGGAUGGAGAUUAUUGACUAAAAAAGAUAAAUUAUAGGCCAAGUAUUAUAUGGUAAAUACCUUAACAAUACCAACUUACUCGAUGCUCCAAGAAAUGGUGGUAGUGAACACGGUUAGAGAAGUAUCCUUGCAGGAAAAUAUAUCGUUGAUAAAGGGUUAUGUUGGAGGGUGGGUGAUGUAAGUCUAAUUAGAUUACAAACUAACAAGUGGGUGCCUGAUAGAAAUAUAGUUCAUAAAUGCAUCCAAAAUCCUUCACAGAAGUAGUUGCAAUUGUUCAUUAAGGAGUAUAGGGAGCAGGAGGUUGAAACUAUAAGGCUUUAUCACAUUUUUUCUAGAGGAAAUAUUUAGAAAAAAGAACAUGGUAUUUCCUUUCUUGAUGAAUUACCGAGCUAAUGAUGAAUUUAUUUGGGGGAAAACUUUUAAUGGCAUCUUUUUAAUUAAGUCAGCUUAUGAGAUUCAAGUGAAUAGAAAAAGAUUCGCUUAGCUUAAUGGCAAAACUAAUAUAGAAAGUUCUUUAACAUUCGAAGAUCCAAUCAUCUCUUUGGUUAACUUGGAAAAGUAGAAUUAUGAGGAAUUCAAAUAGAAAGAUAAGGUAACUUAUCAUGAUUGAUUCGAGCGAAAAUAUUCGGUGAUCUAUUUUUUCCUUAAAUUAUGGAACAUUAAUUAUAUUAUGCUUAAUUUGAGUAGCAUUGAUGGCAUAGAUUGAAGUCCAUAAUUUUUAUAUACUUAUGUUGAAGUUUCAUCAAUCAUAAUGCACAAUUGUUAUGUGUGGAUCUCUAAUUUCAUUAUAGAUUUUUAUUAUGUGUCAAUUUUAGUUUAAAGUAUUUCGAUUCUUAAUAUGUUUAUAUUGAUUUAAUAAUGCUUUAUAGCUGUUUAAAUAUAAAUUAUUAUUAAUAUAUUUAUAAACUCUAAAAUUAGUUUAUAAAAAAACAAAGCUGAAUUUGGGAAAUAAAAAUACAAGAUAAAUUUCAUUUUGAGGAUGGUACAACUUUUGCUUUAUUACAUUAUUUUUGUUAGAUUAGUUGUCUUUAUUUUGGGCAUAAUUUAUUUGCUUUUUUUUUUUUUUUAAAUUAUAAACCCAAUAAUUGUCGGAUCAAUCAUAGAAAUUCACCAUGGAUUUCAAUUCAAUUCACUGCAAGUAAACAAUCCAAUUAUUAAUUAAUAAAAAGAAGCCUAAUCACUUUAACAUAAUCCACUCCAAUCAUAGGAAUUAACUUCUUGUUGAGCCAUUGGUUGAUUAAUAAUAAUAAUAAACCGAGUAGACCAAAAUGACAUGACAAUAUACAAUAAUUUUUUGGAUGAUGAGUAAAACUAUCGGAAAAGCUUCUUUUCUUUUCUUUUCUUUUUUCUUUUUUUUUUAUAUAUCUAUAUUUCGAAACAUUGAAACGUUAAAUUAAUGGUGAAAAUUAUUUUUUAUGGAUAAAUUAUAAAAAUAUUACUCCAUUAUACAUUUUGUUUUAUUUUGGUCACGUACUUUGAGCUGAUGUCGGCUUUUUUCUUAUUAGUCUAGUAACAAAUUUAACCCUCUAAUGUUUACAUAUUCCAUUAAAUUGGUCCUAAAUAUAAAAAUUUCAAUAAAUUUAGCCCUCAAUGUUUAUAAAUUUUUCCAUUUUAGUCGUAAUUCUAAAAAAUUUCAAUAAAUUUGGCCUUAGUAUUUACAAUUUUUUUCAAUUUAGUCCUGUCUUACAAUUUUUUUCAAUUUAGUCCUAUCUCUAAAAAUUUUAAAAAUAUUUAAUUUUUUUUUCUUUUUUAGCUCUGCAUAAUCGAACUCACCCAUGAAAGAUAUUAAAAUAAGAAAAUAAAAUCCCCUCUUUCAAGCCAUUUGCAACAAUUUCUUAUACUAUAAUUUACGCUUCAUAUCAGACCAAAUCAAUUGAUUUGGAACCUAUCUAGAAUAAUCGGUUGCAUUACUACUCGAACAUAUAACGUUUUUAAUGCCAUUGAUUUUUUGUCAGAUCUUAAAUUUUUGUGUUUUGUCCCAACUUUUUAGAGUUAUUUUGCAAGUGACUUGAAAGAGGGUACAUUUUUUCUUAUUUUAAUAUCUCACAUGGGUUAGUCAAUAGAUUAUAAAGGGCUAAAAAUGAUUUUUUUUAAAAAGUCUUUUUUAAUUUUUAGAGUUAGGACUAAAUUGACAGAUUUUGUAAAUGUUAAUGGCCAAAAAUGUUGAAUUUUUAAAAAAAUUAGAACUAAAAUGAUAAAUUUUAUAAAUAUUGAGGGUUAAAUUUGUUGAAUUUUGUAUAUUCAAGAUCAAAUUGAUAGAAUGUGUAAAUAUUAGAAUGCUAAAUUUGUUAUUAGACUAAUAAAAAAGAAAGCUCACAUCAGCCCAAUGUAACUAAAAUAUUUAAUUUCAAAAAGUUUAAUGACUAAAUAAAAUAAUUAAUAGUUAGGUGACCAAAAUAGAAUAAAAUGUAUAAUUGGGUGACUACUUUAACAAUUCACCCAUAGAAAAUUAAUUUCCCGUAUAGAUUUAACAUUCCAGAUCCAUUACAAAAUACUCAAUUUUUUGGUAGAAGGGUGGAAAUGGAAUCCAGUCGUAAAUACAAGAAGUACGAGUCAUCAUCCAUGGCGUAUCAAUAAUGAAAAAAACAAAAUGAGAAAUAGUUAAAAACUUAAGAAAAAUGUAGAAAUUGGUGGUAUAGGGAUGGGAUGGCAGUGAAUCAUGUGUUCCUAAUCUGUGUAAAAUUUGAGUUUAUUUAUUAUUACUCAUAUUACAUUAAAUUAAAAAGUAUAUAUAAGAGGCGAUCGAAACUUGUCAUCCAUAAAAAUAAAAAAGAUUCAUAAUAAUUAAAAAUAUUUGAAUAUCACAAAUGUCCGAAUUCACCUUAUCUAUCCUCAUUCUUAGUUGUGUAAGAAGAAAUAUGAUCUUGAAUGAAAAAAUGUUACUUUUUUGACCAUCGGAGCCAACGCAAUUUCCGAGAGUCAUUUCCAAAAACAGGAGGGGUGAUGAUGAGUCAGCAAUGGAAGUGGAUAAAGCCCCGUUAGUGAUGGGACGAAACCAAGUAAGAACACGUGGCGUGAUGGGAGAGGUGGGCCCGAGGAAGCGACGAAACAUCGCCGUUUGAAAGGUGCCCCAGACAUUUUGCAACUAUAAAUAGGUUGUGAUGGAUAUUUGAAAGCACAACAACGUGUUUGCCUUCCCCCUUUUACACUCCCCCUCUCUUUCCUCUCUUCUCUUUCCUUCCCCCUUCAGAUAUCUUCCUUUUCAUCUUCUUCCUCUUUCUUUUUCUUCAAAUACUGCCCUCUAUUUUUCUCUACUUCUUGUUAAAAAGAAAUGUGUUUUGGGAGUGUUUAAUUAUUGAAACAAAAUGUGUGGGAUUUUAGCUGUUUUGGGUUGUUCUGAUGAUUCUCAGGCAAAAAGGGUUCGAGUGCUGGAACUUUCCCGCAGGCAAUUCAUCUUUCUUUUUUCUUUUUUGCUAAUUUUGAUGCUUGUGUCUUUAAAAUGGUUGCAUAACAUUUCCCCAAUAGGUUUAGACAAUGGCAAAAUUGUUUUUAUGGUUUGUUGCUGUCAAAGAUCAGCGAAAUAAAAAAAAAGACAGGGUUAUGGUGAAAUUUAACAACCUUAAAACUUGGUCUUGAAUUCUUCAUCAUCUUUAAGCUAUGUCGGGUGUUUUGAAGCAGAGAUACUCUGCAACUUGGAAACGAUAUAAAGGGACAUAAGCAAAAAAAAGUGGCAGUGUCCAUGUUUCAAUAUGCUAGUUCAAGCAGCUCAUGAACAUAAAAGACUAAUAAAUUGAAUUGAAUUUAUUGGUUAAUGAGUAGUGAUUGUCCACGUUGAUGAUGGUUUACCAACAGGCUGAAGCACCGUGGUCCUGACUGGAGUGGCCUCUACCAACAUGGAGACUGUUAUUUGGCCCAUCAACGCCUUGCCAUCAUUGAUCCUGCUUCUGGUGACCAACCUCUCUUUAAUGAAGACAAGUCUGUUGUUGUCACUGUAAGCCUCUUUCUCUUUGCUUCUUUUUAUUUAAUGUUUCUCCGGUUCCACCCUAUAUGGCCACUCAUUUAACUUUUUCAACACUUGAGGACUGCCUAAUUGAUCAAAUCUGUGCUGAAAACUAGGUGAAUGGAGAGAUUUACAACCAUGAAGAACUGAGGAAGAAGUUGGCCAACCACAAGUUCAGGACUGGCAGUGACUGUGAUGUUAUUGCCCAUCUGGUCAGUCACCAUGGAUAGAGCUAAAUUUUUUGGUCUCAAGUUUCUAUUUUGUUUUGUGAAUGAUUGCCUAAUAAGUACUUGACCUAUAUAAUAGUAUGAGCAGUAUGGUGAAGACUUUGUGGAUAUGUUGGAUGGAAUCUUCUCAUUUGUGCUGCUGGAUACCCGUGACAACAGCUUCAUCGUUGCACGCGAUGCUAUCGGUGUCACCUCCCUCUAUAUUGGUUGGGGACUUGAUGGUAGUAAAUCUAGGUUUUUUUUUUCUCCGUUGCAAGUAAUUUGGGUUGAAACUGGUUUUUGCUAAUUUAAUUCUACUUCUUAUAACCAGGUUCGGUUUGGAUAUCAUCGGAAUUGAAAGGGUUGAAUGAUGACUGUGAACACUUUGAAAGCUUUCCCCCUGGCCACUUGUACUCUAGCAAAUCAGGAGGAUUUAGAAGGUGGUACAAUCCACCUUGGUUCUCUGAGGCCAUUCCAUCGGUUCCAUAUGAUCCCCUAAUACUUAGACGUGCCUUUGAAAAUGUAAAACUGAUUACUUGCCGCCCAAGAAGCACUUUAUGCUUUUGGACUAAAGAAAUAAAUAUAUUUUUUUAUGUAGUUUUGGCUUACGGGUUGUAUCCAAUAUGUUCACAGGCGGUGACCAAAAGACUGAUGACUGAUGUGCCUUUCGGAGUUUUGCUAUCUGGAGGACUUGAUUCAUCAUUGGUUGCUUCUAUCACUGCUCGGUAUUUGGCUGGUACCAAGGCUGCCAAACAUUGGGGAGCUCAGCUCCAUUCUUUCUGCGUUGGCCUAGAGGUAAGUUGUAAAGUAUACGAUGAACCAUUAAAGCUCUAGAGGAUUUAAAUGAUUCUUAAAACUUGAUUGUCAAUUUCUCUGCAGGGUUCACCAGAUUUGAAGGCAGCCAGGGAGGUUGCAGACUAUCUGGGAACUGUCCAUCAUGAAUUUCAUUUUACUGUUCAAGUAUUGAGUCGACAUUUUUGUAGCAUUUUCUAUUCAAGAAUUUAGGGUCUAAUAAACUUGUAACAAGCUAGACUGCUCUCUAAUGUGGCAGGAUGGAAUCGAUGCCAUUGAAGAUGUCAUCUACCACAUCGAAACAUAUGAUGUCACCACGAUCAGGGCAAGCACUCCUAUGUUCCUGAUGUCAAGAAAGAUCAAGUCACUAGGUGUGAAGAUGGUUAUUUCUGGUGAAGGCUCCGAUGAGAUAUUUGGUGGAUACCUGUACUUCCACAAGGCACCAAAUAAGGAUGAAUUCCACCGGGAGACAUGCCGCAAGGUAAUAGAUCAUCUUAUUCAGCACUUCACUUAUGAGUAGGGGAGUUGGAACAUAAUAUAUAACGAAAACUGGUCUGUUUUGAUACCUUUUUAUGC